rnacentral:lncRNA from 1 species
CAUCACUCGAGUGUUUGGAUCUAUGACCACUUGAGUGGUAGUAUUUUGUUUUCGUUCAUUGCUACAAUUGAGAUAUGGAAAUCUCAUCCGUUUAGUGAUGGGUUAUUUCCAUACUCUCAAACUAGCCAGUUUGAACCAGAACCAGUUUGUCAGCCAAAAUAAAAAAUCAUGUCAAGUCAAGUCAAGAAUCAAGAAUCAAGAACCAGUUUUCCAGUUUGUCAGUCAAGUCAAGUCAAGAAUCAAGUCAAGUUAAGUUUGCAUGUCUGCCAAUCCGUCUAACGGAGCCAGUCCGCAUCUGCAUGUUUGCAAACUCAUGUCGUAUAUCGCCAUGAGUUUGACGAGGGAUGUUGGAAUAUAUUAGUAUUUUAGGUAUUAUAUUGUUUGGGUUUUCUUAUAAGUUUAGUUUGGGCCUAGCCUGUCAGCAUUAGGGUUAGGGUUAGUUUAUUAUAAAUAGAGUGUUUUGUUAUUCAUUAGAGAAUAAGCCAGUCAUAAUGUAGCUUUUAGGGUUUUGUAGCCGUUUCGGCAUUCUCGUUUAUUUAAUAAAAUUCUUAUUUUGUUAGUCUUAUUCAUGGCGUACUCUGAUAUUCAACUAUGUAUCUAUCUGCUGUUCAUUAAAAUAAGUAUUUUUACAUGGAUUUUUUAGGGUAUUGCAAAUUUGGACAGGAUAUGGUUUGUGAUUUUCCCUACCAUUUUUCAAUUUAUAAACGUAUUUUGCUUCAUGUUUUUUCGUUCUCCCUACCAAUCUAUCAUGCAUCUAUUCCCUGAUUGAAAGAUUUAGCGUAAAUCGCUUUGUUUCUUUUUUGCAUUAAUUCUUAAGGAAAGUACAACAGUACACGAAAAAAUCGAAGCCCGUAUUUAACACAAUACAUCUUUUGUACACCCUCUCUCAAACUAGUUAAGAUCAUUCCGUCCUAGUUUCUAAAGAAGUACUGAGAAACCAUUUUUUCUUGAUUCCCCCGCACUAAAUUCACUCUUGAGUCACUAACCCAAGAGAUAUCCUUGAUACUGAUCAAGCCUAACCAAUAGGCCGUCCCACAAUUAAGCCCAAGCCUCUAUUUUCAUUAGAGAGUGGUAAUACUUCCAUCCACUCACCACAAUACCAAUGCAUGGAAAACCAUCGAUGCAUGUGCAGUGAUGCUCUCUUGAUCUUGACCAUCAGAACACAAAAUAAAGGUUGAGAUUUAACUAAAUCUCUUAAAUUUUAUUUGGUUCAAUUUUAACCGCUCACUUGUGAAAGAUUUUUGUAGAUGAUUUGGAUGGUUAGCGUUUUUAUCUUCAAUACUAUUUCUUCGAUUCAAACCUCCCCAUAACUAAGUUGAGUUUUAUCCCCAUAACUAAGUUGCAUAACGUUUUUAUCUCAACAACCUCCCCCAUAACUAAGUUGAGAUUUAUCCAAGCCCGAAGUAGCCACUGUCAAAACAAUGAACGACGACUUGUGUUACCAUGCAAUACAAUGGAGUAGGUCAACCAAAACAGUGGGGGAAAACCCUCAAACUCGAGCAUUCCGAACAAAACUCACAAGGAUGUUUAAGUCUAACAUUAAGAGCCUCACUUAAUUCUGCAACAGAAGAAAAUUUGUUACCGAAAACCUGCGAGUCUCUUAAAGUAGAGGUGUAAAGAUAGUGAAAUUUUUCUUUAUACCACCAUUGCCUUCGAUCACCUCCACGAGCUUCUCUCCGUCCGAUGCUGCUGUCAUUGUAGUGAUUAAUAAGUUGAGUUUUCUCACCAAAAAGAUUUUUCAUUUGACAUUUCUUUCAGUGAUGAAAAAGAUGGGAAUACGAAAACAAUCAUGUGUAAUAAUUAAAUAAUACAAAAUUUUCAAACACUUUUCAUUAGUUUUCCUAUAAUAAAACGAGCGGAUGAAGCAAGACUUUUGCUGCAAGUUUUCAGAAUUUUCCUUUAUCAUUCAAAACAGUAACGAUAUACUGAGGAGGGCUUUUCUCUAAGAUGGGAAAACACAAAUGCUUUCAGAUUUAAUAAAUGUAAUAGCUUCAAGCUUUCAGAUGAGUUCUCUACUUUCUACAAUGCUUAUAUUCUGGAACAAGAGAGAAACUUAGCAUAAAACAACUGCUUUCAAUGGAUGGAGAACUUAAAAAUACAUUAAAACUAGGCCAACAUAGACAUUUAAGUUGAGCAUAGAAAUUUAAGUCCAACAUAGACACUAUCCCAAGUGCUUCCACAUUGAACUGGAUCAAGCCGAUAAAAACUGGUUCGGUCAAUUAAAGCAAUGAAUAAUCAAGUACGCGCAAUUGGCCUAGUAUGCCUGCACGCUACCAAAAAAGCCUAGGUCAGAAUCUCUCCACUUGUGGACCUGACAAACUUCAACAUUUCCAUAACAGGAGCCAACAAACACUUCCGAACUGGAACAGGACCUUACAACGGCCACAGACGAACAUAAUUUGCCAAAACGGAACUCUUUUCAAUUGACCCUGCCGAAUGGGAAACACUUGAUUCUUUUUCUUUUUCUUUUUCUUUUAGUUUGGUUGUCUAUGUAUCACGUCAAUCUUCUUCUCCUGACUUGGCUGUUAAUACCUACGAAUAUAACCAAUAAAGCAUGUGAGAUCAAUUGAAAAAAAUUUCUUUUCUUUGGGUAAUUCUAAAGCAAAAGUCACAAAACAAGAAAUAGCCUUAGUGGUACUUUAGUUUUCUCUGACCUUUCAGCAAGUCGGGGGCUACGUCAUAGGACCAGGCGGGGUAGGCGGUCAUUGUUCCGAAGGAUGGCUGUUGAGAGGCUGUUGGUGGGUCACCGCCAAAUGCUCCUUAUUUCUCAAACUAAACCUAGCAGGAGUCCCAAAGUAUCCAACGGCCCAUUCGUUCAAACCGCUAAGUAUUUCUACAGACAACCUAUCACUAGCUAUUCGUACAUCCAUAAAUAGUGUGUAUCUAUGUCGGAGGGUCAUGCAAGGUUGGUGGUCAUUCGUCUGGUGAAGUGGGGAGGGAGCUAGAGUGGGAUGCUGGGGCUGCUGAGGUGGGAAGGGUGCUGGAGGAUGGUUGUUGGGUGACUGCGGGUGGGUCACCACCACACCCUCUUUGUCUCUCAAACUAAAGCUAGCAGGAGUCCCAAAAUAUUCAACAGCCCAUUCGUUCAAACUGCUAAACAUUUCUACAGACAACCUAUCAAUAGCUACUGGUACAUCCAUAAAUAGUGUGUAUCUAAUUGUUGACUCAGCUGGGUACAGAGGAUAUGGAUACAUUCCACCAACCAUUGACCCUAUAUUUAUAUCUCUAUAAUCUUUAAUCCCCGGAAUUUCUCCUAAUUCUAUAUGACGCAUAAUAUGAUAACCAUGUGUUACCAUUACUAAUUGGUUCAGGUCUUCUCCCGUUUCAACACUAAUUUUUUGAGCCAAAUUUAAUCCUGAGUCUGCCGGAUGAACAGUGAUGCUCAUAUUCAAACUUGGAACCGAAACUAAAAAUGAAUUCCUGUAAAAUAUUAUAUGGUAUUAAACAAAUAAAUCUCAUAACUCAACAUUAUGUACAAUUCUAAAGACAUAAAACCUAACUCAACAUUUAUGUACAAUUCUAAAGACUUACAUUAUUGUUGAUCCGUUUUGUAGGGGAGUUAACAGAUUGUACACCUGAGUUGGGACUCGGUGCCUUAACAAAACAAAAAUAAAACUACAUUAUUAAUCAUGUAUUUCUUAUUACAGAACAAACUUUUCCUGAGACAAAAAACAUACCCAGCCACCAGAUGUUGUAGGUACGCAUCCUCGGACGCCAUCACAACAAUAAUGCACCAAUGAAACACUAAAAAAAUCCCAUAAUUUUAUCAUCAGACAGCAAGUACAUACAAGAAAACACCAAUGUCUCCCCUAUUUAAAAAUUUUGCUGAAAAGCAAAGAUUUUUGCUGGGUUGAGUGCUCAUCAUUCACUUAUGCUUGUAAAACCAACAAAAGGAUAAUUUUGCAUUCUCCAUAAUUAUACUUAAUGCCAAUAUUCAUAGCUAAUAUACUAAGUUACCACUAAUUGAUUGUUCAAAGCAUCAAUAUCCCAAUAUGAAUCUGAAUUAAUAGACGGUUCCCAAAACUCAGUACCUACAGCAUCUGUGAGUCCACAACACUCUCAAAUGUGUAUAUUUUUCAACAUAUCCAGGCAAACCCAAAAUUCGAAACUAAAUUUGUACCGAAAAACAUUCAAAAGUUAAUUACAUUCACAAAUUCAACCAAAAUCAGCAAAUAUCGAGUACUACCUCAGAUGGAAUCCUGUUUUCGAUACUGUUCUGCUGGUUUAUGAACCCUUUAAUGGCUACACAGAUGCCAUCCACAGUCUCCAGAGUCCAGAGUGAAAAUAUCGAACCUUUUACUUAUUGGUGCAGACGAAAACUCUCUCCAGUCUUCGUGCCUGAAAUUCAGCAUAACAAUUUACAAUUAAUUCCUUCAAAAACAGAAUUAUAAAAAUAAGAGCUCAAAAUAAUCAAAUUCCAAAAAUUAACAAUUACAUUGAAAAACUUGAACCCUCACUCAGUCAGUCCUUGGUUGAUACCCAAAAAAUCAGAAGAAAGAAGACCCAAAAAAUAAUAAAAAAUAAACAAUUUUAAAUUCAAAUCCACCCAAAAUACUUAACUUGGGCAUUAUCUCGGAUCCAAAACUUCCUAAAUAAAAACGUAACUUUUUAAAUAACAAAACAACAAAAACUCUGCUUGCUUGAUUUCGCAUGCUGCAAUCUCCUGCCCAGCCAGAAACAAAGGAACUAAAUUCCAAUUCAGUAGCAAGUGGUUCGCAGCGCAAGCUGAGUUAAUCAUUACACACGGCUGUUAAUCAUUGUUUCAUCAUUCAGCAUUACACAUGGUUGACAAGCAGCACAAGCUCAAAAUCAAAUUCGAUGAUUUCCCACACAUAUCAGUAAUAUCAAAAACAACAUAAAAAUCAUCGAAUUCUUUCUUCCCUAAAUUUUUCCAAAAUGAAAACGAAAACAAUAUUUGGAACAUAAGAUUUGGAAUAAACGUCUAGAACCCAAAUCCCUAAAUCAAGAAAACCUUAAUCUAUGAUUAUACUUAAUGCCAAUAUUCAUAGCUAAAAUACUAAGUUACCACUAAUUGAUUGUUCAAAGAAUCAAUAUCCCAAUAUGAAUCUGAAUUAACAGACGGUACCCAAAACUCAGUACCUACAGCAUUUGUGAGUCCCCCACACUCUCAAAUGCAUACAUUUUUCAACAUAUCCAGGCAAACCCAAAAUUUGAAACUAAAUUUGUACCGAAAAACAUUCAAAAGUCAAUUACAUUCACAAUGUAAACCGAAAUCAGUAAAGAAGAGCAAUAUUAGCAAAUAUCGAGUACUACCUCGGAUGGAAUCCCGUUUUCGAUAGUGUUCUGCUCGUUUAUGAACCCUUUAAUGGCUACACAGAUGCCAUCCACAGUCUCCAGAGUCCAGAGUGAAAAUAUCGAAUCUUUUACUUAUUGGUGCAGACGAAAACUCUCUCCAGGCUUCGUGCCUGAAAUUCAACAUAACAAUUUACAAUUAAUUCCUUCAAAAACAGAAUUAUAAAAAUAAGAGCUCAAAAUAAUCAAAUUACAAAAAUUAACAAUUACGUCGAAAAACUUGAACCAUCCCUCAGUCAGUCCUUGGUUGAUACCCAAAAAAUCAGAAGCAAAAAGACCCCCAAAAAAAAAAAAAAUACACGUUCCUAAAUUUCUGUUGGGGUUUUAUAAAAAAUUUGGGAAUCAAAAUCAAAUUCCAAGAUAAUCAGAGCAUACAACUUUAAUAGCAUAAAAAGUUAUGGAAAUUAACCUACUUCAAUUCCAAUAUAAUCCAGAAUACCAAACUCGCUUACCUUCAGUCAAGCGGGUUUUGGAAAACGUUGCGGAGACCGGUGGUGCAGGAAGAUUCACACGUGUGUUGUGGCGCCCUUCGUCGGAUUUGGGUGAAGCGGUGGUAGUAGUGGCGGUGGUCUGCGUGAACUGGUGAAGAAGCAAGCGGUGGUUUUGUCGUUCGGGGUGUUUGAAAGCGUUAAAAAGAGUUGAAAGAGGAAGUUCGCCGGGUGAUGGCGAGGUGGGCGAGGUCGACGGUGGGAAGAAACGGCGUCGUGGUUUGGCGAAGGAGGAGAGAGAGGACUUUUAGAGAGAGAAGGCAGAAUCUUUUAGAGAGAGAAUGACAGAAGCAGAGAGGAUUGAGCGAGAGGGUAGUGAAAGUAGGGAAAGGAAGGCAAGAAAAUAAGGAAAUCCGAGGGAUAAAAAGCAGAAUUAGACUAAAUAUGUGAGGGUAAAAUCGGACGAAAAUAUUAAAUUAAAUUCUGUGAAUUCUCUCCUUUAUUUCAAUUUCUCAAUAAAACUUUUAUAUUAUUUGUAGAUUAGCCUCUUGCUACACGCAUACGCUUGUGACAAUUGGCCUUUUUAUAUUUAUUUAUUUAAAUAAUUAAUUUAAAUCUUUUAAAUUUUUUUUUUUAAGAAAUGAAUUAAUGACGUGAAACCACCCACUAAUGUGGGAGGUUUUGUUUUUGUUUUUUUUUUUUCAAUAAUUUUAAAUAUUAAAUUAAUUCAAAAUAAAAAUAUGGUUAAAUACUUUUAACUUCUUUUGGUUCAAUUGUAAUUUAUGAAAUUCUUAAAAGACAAUUUAUGGUAUUUUGAAUGUUUCACCAUUUUAGGGUGCUCACUUUAUAUAUAAAGAUGAUAUGUAGCACAUGUGUGAUCAUGUAAAUUUAUAGAUUAAUUUAUUGAUCUUCUAAUACCUCCUCAUAUUGUAGAAAUAAAUAACAAACAGCUAAGUAGCAUUAUAGUUAGAAUUACUCAUUGCAAGCGACAUGUGUGCCUUCUUGAAAAUGGGUUCAAAUCUUGUGGCACGAUGUAUAGCAAGAUGUGGUGGCAUUUGUUCAUUUGAGCAGCUUAAUUUGAUUGGAGCUGUUUAGUUUAUGAACGGAUUUUUGAGGUAGGUGUUCCAAUCACCCUAUUCUGGCUCUAGAAAUCCAUGAUCCUACAAUUUCUCCAAAUAAUGUAUCUGAAAGGGUGUUUCGUUUGAGGAUGGAUAGUUGUCCAAAGAACAUUCAAAUGAGUAAUAUAGAAAAAAUUUGUCAAGUGUUGUCCAUAUAACAUGUCGAGAUAUAUCUAGCAUGCAUUACAUCAAACAUUUAGUAGGCACAAAAAAAAAAACAUGUACCAAACAUUCGGAAGAUCCUUGAAAGACCUUCACAUGUAUAUUUUCCGAACUCGGUUGGUCCUGGGACCCAUUUGGUCCCUAUUUCCAUCCGCCCCUGGAGAGGUCCCCUAUAAAUAUCUCAGAUUUUGCCUUUGUUUUCGUCUUUCUUUCAAAAACUUCUAAACCUUCCUUCAAGCUUUCGACUUCCUGAUCUUCUUCUUCUUCAUGUUUUCAACCAAGGAAUGGCCUCUUCCAGCAUUCUAUUGUUAACUCCUUGGUGAUGUGAAGGAAUUGUAACACCUUCAUCCACCAUUGCUAAAAUCUUUUGACUGAUUGCAAGGUCCAGGUGGAAGUAAAUCUUCCUUGGUGCCAUUGCCAGGGUAGAUAUUUGAUCAAGAGUAUCCAUGUACCAAAAUUCACCUUUGGUACUUGGACUUUCAUGAUAUCUCUUUGCUAACUCCUUGGUGAGGUGAAGGAGCUGUAGAAGUAUUGAGUCACGGUCCCACACACCUUGAGUCACCUCAUUCCAAAACUCCCUCAAACAAAUCCUCAUUCUUCUUAUCGUCCUUCUCUUUGGGAAAGGAAACCUCGCAAAAUUUAGACACUUAUUUUGCAAUAAAAAUUUGGCGUUUUCUUAAUUUGCAUGUUUUUUACGAUAGGUUUCACAUGCACUACCAUUUAAUACGUGGUUUGCAGUUCAACUCUCUUAUUUCCAGACUAAGGGUGUAAAAUUCUGAAUUCCGUAAACGAGCAAUAAAUUAUUGAAGGUCGCAAUUCCUUAUGGUCUGCAUUCGUAAUCAGAAACCAAAAUCAGAAUGUUGAUCGAUGUUAGACAAAUAAGAACACAUGGCUAUGUAGCAUGCAUUAUGCUUUUAAAAAACCAUGUUGAAACAGCAAGCAACAAAAGUGCCUGCCUGCCUGCCUUGUUGAAUAGUAAAAUAAAAACUAUAAACUGGUUCGGUCAAUCGUUCUAAAGAAUUAAAGCAAUGAAUAAUGAAGUAUGUGUAAUUGGCGUAGUAUGCUUGCACGCUACCAAAAAAGGCUUGGUCAGAAUGUCUCCACUUGUGAACCUGUCAAACUUCAACAUUUCCAAAACAGGAGCAAACAAACACUCCCAAUCUAGAAUAGGACUGUACAACAACCACAAACAAACAUAAUUUGCCAAAACGGAACUCUCUUCAAUUGACCCUGCCAAAUAGGAAACACUUGUUUCUUUUUCUUUUCCUUUUAGUUUGGUUGUCUAUGAACUCUCUUUUGUUGGCCCUGCCGCUUUUGUCUUUGUUGUUUGGUUGUCUGUAAAUGUCGACAAUGAUGCAGUCAAGCAAAGUUUCAAGAAAGCCAAAGUUCGCAGGGAUAAAAGGAAAUAUUAGGUGACAUAAAGCCAUCAAUGAAAAUGGAACACAAGAAAUAUCUAAUGCCACUAAUCAAAUUGGUACACAAAAAAUAUUAAAUGAUAUAGAGAAGCGAGUAUAACUUAACCAAAGAGGCAUACCACAACUACAACAAAUAUGAACACUGCACACAAUAAAUUAUCUGUGCCCUUUGAGGUCAAAGUGCACCAACAUACGUGCCCAUAGACCAAUAGCAACAAUGCAGCAACUAAGUUUCUAUAUGUGCCCUCUAUGGGCGUCACCUUUGCUAAAAGGGCACAAUAAACUAUUUGGUGCUCAAAGAGGCAAGCACAAAUAAAGGCCUUUUUGUGUCUAUGUUCUGACAAACUUGUCAGAUGACCUUCUCCAUCCAUGUUUGCACUAUUUUUGUUAUUGUGCCCAGUACGUUCUAUUUAAAAAAAAAAAUAGACAUGUAAAAUUUUGAAAUAAAACCAAAAAUUUAAAAUUUUCAUAAGAUCAAAGAUGGUAGUCUCGGCUAUAAAAAGCAAUCUAAUAGUAGAAAUGGAAUGUCUAUAAUGAAACUACAUAAAUAUUCCUCAUAAACAUCAUGUUUACAAGUGUUCAAGAUAAAAGAUCAACAAAAUAAUGAGAUUUUCCUAUCAAUGUAUCCAUGCAUUCCUACAUAUAGCCACUCAUAACUGAUUUUACCCUUUUUCCUAGCUCAGUGGAUUAUGCAAUUACCUUCCUGAAAUCCAAACCAAAGGAAAAAUGAAAAAGGGAAAGGAUCACAUAUUUCCAGUGAGGUUGAACUACCCAAACAUCCAAUCAACAUUGAGAAUUCAUAGUAUCCUGAAAAUCGAUUUAAAAUAACCAAGUGUGAUCAAAGCUCGUAACACCAGCAUGCUUAUGUUUUCAAUCGCAUUCUAACUGCCGCUUGAAAUAUUUCAUGAUUAACAUAUUGAAAUCUAGUAGCUUGUUGUUACCAAUGCGUAGAAAGGGUAGCUCACCUUAAGUUCGACUCCGGACUCUAGACGUGAGCGCACACCCACAACGGAGUGUUGAACGCUACAUUCUCGCAAGAAGCAACCAUGAGAAAUAAUUGCAUCCAUAAUUUGCAAAAUUCAUUUGGCCAUGAGAUCAGAAAAUUACAGCCAAUGUCACACAGUAAUUUAAGCUUGCAAUCAUACCCUGCAUUUUUCAACUUUUGUAGGUGGCAAGUAUCUAGGAAAGGUGUAGAAAGGUGUCUUUGGAUCGUUGAAUUCAAACUUCGGAGGCUGCAUGAAAGAAAGAAUGUAAUCAAUAACUGUUACCACAUAUGCACGUAAAGAAAAAAAAAUCUAAUCGAAUAGCAGGAACGAUUCAGUGCAACUAUUACCAACCUGUUUUGUGAGGGCUGAGUUUGCAUCGAAGAAAGACUUUACAGUUCCAAUAUCCUCCCAGUAGUCAUUGAAUAGAUAUGCCUGAUCAUGUAAGGGCGUUCCGUAACUUAGUGACUCAAUUAUCAAAUCCAAACCAGCCUUGGGGGAAUUGCUUAUAUAUUUAUAUUCGAAGAUGAACUAUAAGAAAAACAAUAACUAUUAUCGAAAGAGCUAUCUCACCUGGACGUUGUGCUCCUUCACAGCUGAUGGAAUAAUCUCGAAGCCAAAAUCAUUGCAAGAAGGAUAGCUCCACCUUAAUAGCUUAAGUAGGACAUCAGUUCUGAACACAUACACACCCAUCGAUGCAAAUUUGUAGUCCUAAAUCACAGUCAAUUAGUAACGCACAUGAAAAUUUAGGGCAUACAGAUAAUCAAGUUUGGGAGGAAUCACGUGAGUCAUAAAAUUGAAAUACACUGAUGUUUUUUUUUUAAUUAUUUAGUGCAGGGAGCCGGUUUUAUACCUACAACACAAUCCCAAUCUCAUAAACAUAUAUUGUAAUAUUACCCACUUAGCUAACAUAUACUACAAUAUUCGUUCAUCAGAUACACACUGAUUAUAUAGUUAUCAGAAGCCAAAACGGAUAUAGUUGAAUUCAAAACACAAUCAGUCCAAAAUUACACCUAAAUAGAGUUAAUUAAAAUCAAUACCUACAAAUUCCAGAUCAGCCAUAUCAAAGAUUCAUAUUCCUCACUCCGGGUUGUAAAAUUAACUUUUAGGUAUGAGAUAACACAUUAGUUCAGUUCAUGACCUGAAUCAAUGAAAUAUGUAAGUAUGCAUAUUAUUUAGGGUCAAAGUGAGUUGCUUACUUUAAUCACAUACCUAGUAUGCAUCAUCAAUAUACAUGCAAAUGGAAAGAAGAAAAUGAGUCUAAUUGUUGGAAAAUUUUGAGAAAUAGAGUAUUCACAAAUGUGCAACUAAACAUGGCAUUGACCUGCACAUGAAAUCUCACUAAAAGUCAACUGAUUAUUUCUAGUCAGGUUGUUUUUGUUUGUCCAUGGUUCAUCACUUUUAGCUUCCUAGAGAUUUGGAAAGGAUCAUCAGUUCAUCUAGACUAUAAACCAAUAGACUUUUGAAUAUAUAUCAAGAAUAAUGUCCCAGUAUGCCUAAGUCCCAGUCUAAGCCAAAACUUCUUCUAAGAACAAAAUUCUGGUAUAUUUGACAUAUAACAGCAAGCCAGCUUCAAAAAAGUUAAACUGUAAUAGGCAUCGCAGUAAAAAUGGGUCUGUUUGAAUCUGGACCAGAUCAAAUCCCUUUUUUAUUAUAACCCAAAAGAGAAAAAAGCUCAGUUCCCUUGUGUUUCAAGCGAACCCUAACCCUAAAAUUAAUCACAAAUUAUUAACUAAAUUAACCAAUACAAGUUCUAAAGUAUUACCAUUUUACCUGGAACAAAGUGGAGAGGAAGGAAUCGCAUUAUGCAGGCACUGAAUUAAAGGGGAACUGGGGAUGAGAUGAGAGUUGAGGCCGACUGAUUUGCAGAUUCUGUGUGAAGGAGAAGGAUUUGCAGAGUCUGUGAGAAUGUGUGAACUUGACUGAAGACUUGAGUUGAGACCCACCUAUUCGCAAUGUGUGAAAUUUGAAGGGGAAGGAUUUGCAAAUUCUGUUUCUGCGUGACUUGAGAAUUGAGAUGAGAGGUGAGAGAGACAGAGAGAGAGGGAAAUAGCAAAAUUUGGGGAAAUAUAGAGAGAGAGCCUAGGGUUGAAGAAAGGCUCGGUUCGAUUGGGAAAGGGAGAGCCAGAGAGAGAGGAGAGGCGGAGCAAUUGAGGGGAGGCUAGGUUUGAAACUUUGAAUGGGGAAACACAGAGAUGCGGAAUGAAGGAAAUGAGGAGAGACUGAUGCGUGAAGAUUGAGGGAAGUGUUUUGUUUAAAACAUUAUUUUAAACAAAGGGCACAAAAAAUCUACCUUUACUUUAAAUAUAUUAAAUUGUAGGACACAAUUACAAUUACAAUGUCAUUGCAAAUUAAUAAAAAAUUUCCAUUACUGACAUUAAAACCACCAAAGAAGAACCAAAAAAAAAAAACAUAUAUAAAAUUCAAAUACCUCAAGAAAGCCACACUAGAUGUGCAAUUUGGAGCAAAAUGAGGAGUUGAGUAGGAACUAGGCACCGCUCAUUCAAAAUUUGUGUUUGUAGUUAUGAUUCCUCUGUCCAGAUGUGCAAGCUUGGAUUAGAACUUUUCAUUGUGGGUGAAGGGGAAGUAUGUAAGCAUUUUUUAAAUUUGUUUUCUUGUUUCUUUAUGGGUGAAGCAACAUUCUAAUUUUCCAUAGACAAAUUAGUAAAGGAGUGUGGACGUUCUAUACUAGAAUAAGGGCACAAAUCCAUAAUUGUGCCAACAUAUUCUUUUGCUAUAGAGUGAUUUAUUAUUUAUUAAUAUUUACUGGACACAAUUUCGAACAUUUGUGUCAUAAAAAAUAAUUUUUAAUUAAUAAGAUAUAUUGUCUAUCUGAAGAUCCAAUGGGGACGUACAAUGAUUUAUUAUUUAUUAAUAUUUACUGGACACAAUUUCUAAGAUUUGUGUCAAAAAAAAGAAAUUUAUAAUUAUUAACUCAUUUGUAUAUCUGAAGACCGAUUAACUUUUGCGCGGAGACCGAUGACCCUAAGGGCACAAUUGUUGGUUAUGUGUCACUACAGAAAGGGCUUUUAAUACAGUAAAAAAAAUAAAAACUUACGAUAAUGUCAAAAACCAUAUCACCAAGUAUCAAAACAAACCUGCUAACAAUCUAAAAAGCAGUUAAAAAAGAUACGAAUCUAACAAACAUUCAUUGCAUAUGGAAAUGAUCCAUUGUAAAUCUAAAGCACGCCACUUAGUACCACGGUGCAGUGGUAUUCUUAUUUACUUGUAAGUGACAAAUCUAAGGUUUGGUUGUCGCCAAAAAUGACUUUGAACAACAGUAUUGCUAACAUAUUUUGAGGCUAUAACACUGCACAGUAAUAAACAGCUCCAUACCAUUAUUUACCAUAAUUUUAUAAAUUUAAUUUUUGGUCUACUAGAGGUCAAGAGAAACAAAAAAACACAUAAAGUGUCGCUGACAAACAAUUUUUAUAGACACAAAAAGUUUUUUGUGCCCAUCUUUAGUAAAAAAGUUGUCAUCUAACCCCAUUGGGCACAGUUUUCGUGCCCAUUACUGUUUUAUGUCUUUUUUUUUUUAACAUUGGGCACAAUAGAUGGUGCCCUCUAUGGAAUGAUAACUGUUUAAGCUUUUGGUGGUCAAACAGGCACAACCUUCUCAAUUGUGCCCUUUGUUUUGUACCCAAAGCUCAUAUUUGUUGUAGUGCACGCAGGCAUCAGAUUCAGUAACUUUCAUUUGUUUGUGCCGUUCACUUCUAGAUAAAGCUUGGACAUGCCUCUUGUUGAGUGAGAUAUUUGAUGGUUCUUCAACAUUAGUAUACCUGAAUACGAACAUAAAAACUGUAACAGCUCAUACAAAAAAAUGAAAUAUAAUAAUGAGAUUUUCUUGGCUUGGGGGUGUGAGAAUUCUACUUGAUUCCCAUAGAAGGUGAGGCUUUUCUUAGCAUGUAAGAUGUAUCACGACAAUCUUCUUCUCCUGACUUGGCUGUUAAAACCUACGAAUUUAACAAAUAAAGCAUGUGAGAUCAAUUGAAAGCAUUUCAUGUUUUUGAGUGAUUCUAAAGCAAAAGUCAUAAAAAAGGAAACUUUAACGAAAAGCUCCUGUUACUGUUCACUUUAACGAAAAACCACAUUUUUACACUAAAAAGUCAAUCCUGGUACUAUUCAUUUUACCCUUUAUUUUGUCCUUAUCGUUAAAACUCAAAGUUUUCAAGCCCUUAUCGUUAAAAAAAAAAUUUACCUUUAGCGGUACUUGAGUUUUCUCUGACCUUUCAGCAAGUCGGGGGCUACGUCGUAGGAUCAGGCGGGGUUGGCGGUCGUUGAUCUGGUGCGGUGGGGAGGUUAGUGGAGGGAGAGGCGGAGGGGGACCUGCAGAUGAAUCUGGAGGAUGGUUGUUGGGAGGCUGCGGGUGGGUCACUGCCACACGCUCUUUAUCUCUCAAACUAAACCUAGUAGGAGUCCCAAAAUAUCAACAGCCCAUCCGUUCAAAACGCUAAGUAUUUCUACUGACAACCUAUCACUAGCUAUUGGUACAUCCAUAAAUAGUGUGUAUCUACGUCGGAGGGCCAGGCAGGGUUGGCGGCCGUUCGUCUGGAUAGGUGGGGAGGGAGCCAGGGUGGGGUGGUGGGGCUGGUGCGGUGGGAAGGGUGGUGGAGGGGGACCUGUAGAUGAAUCGGGUGGAUGGUUGUUGGGAGACUGUGGGUGGGUCUCCGCCGCACGCUCUUUAUCUCUCAAAGUAAACCUAGCGGGAGUCCCAAAGUAUUCAACAGCCCAUUCGUUCAAACUGCUAAAUAUUUCGACAGACAACCUAUCACUAGUCCAUAAAUAAUGUGUAUCUAAUUGUUGACUCAGCUGGGUACAGAGGAUAUGGAUACAUUCCCAUAGCCAUUGAUCCUAUAUCUAUAUCUCUAUAAUCUUUAAUUCCCGGAAUUUCUCUUAAUUCUAUAUGACGCAUAAUAUGAUAACCAUGUGUUACCAUUACUAAUUGGUUCAGGUCUUCUCCCGUUUCAGCACUAAUUUUUUUAGCCAAAUUUAAUCCUGAGUCUGCCGGAUGAACAAUGACGCUCAUAUUCAAACUUGGCACCGAAACUAAAAAUGAAUUCCUGUAAAAUAUUAUAUGAUAUUAAACAAAUAAAUCUCAUAACUCAACAUUUAUGUGCAAUUCUAAAGAGUUCAAUUAUUGUGGUACAAUUCUAAAGACUUACAUUAUUGUUGAUCCAUUUUGUAGGGGAGUUAACAGAUCGUACACCUGAGUUGGGACUUGGUGCCUUAACAAAACAAAAAUAAAAAUACAUUAUUAAUCAUGUAUUUCAUAUUACAGAACAAACUUUUGAUGAGACAAAGACAAAAAACAUACCCAGUCACCAGAUGUUGUAGGUAUGCAUCCUCAGACGCCAUCGCAACAAUAAUGCAACAAUGAAAACACUAAAAAAAUCCCAAAAAUUUAUCAUCAGACGGUAAAUACAUAUAAGAAAACACCAAUAUCUGCCCUAUGUUAAAGUUUUCUCUCAUUAAACCCCAUGCCUACUCGGAUUUCUUUCAUGGACAGAAAAUUAAAGAUAUGUCGUCGAUUCUUAUAUGGAAUACCUUUGCAACUCAAGUGUCGAUAUGUAAAGGCAGCUGUCUAGGAUGCCGAUGGUGAGGUCUGGCCUUUUUUUAGGGAAUAUCGAGUAGUAGAAACGGAUUAUGGCUAGGGUUUCAAUGACAAGAGAAUCAGAAAACGAAGAAAACUGAGAGACUAGCGAGAGAGGUUGCUAGCACUUAAUGCGGGUUGUUUUAUCCCUAAACCCUAGGGUUAAAUAUUCACAAUUCUGAUGACAUGGCACGAACAUGACUAUUUCCUGUGUUAUUGUCCACUAGAAUUUGGCCACACACUGCGCGUGCGUGUUUGAGCCUUGAGGGAAAGGAUUCAGAGGAACCGAAGGGUAGUUUAGGCCCUAAAAAAAAUUAGUGAAGCCCUAUUAUAAAUAGUAAAUAAUUUUGUUCUCCUUUCAGUCAUUUAUUAUUUUGUGAAUUCUCUCUUUUAUUUUCAAUUUCUCAAUAAAACUCUUAAAUUGUUGUAAUUAAUACUAAGCACAUGUGUGGUUGUGGAAAUCCUAGAUAGAUUGGGUUUAUGAUUAUCUUUACUCUAGGAGAUUAUUUUCUAUUAGACUAUGUAUUACUUGGGAAGUAAGUUUCUCUUUUCUCAUGGCUAAAAAUACAUCCAACAAUUUUCUUAAGCAUCAUUGGUUCUCUCAGUUGCCGGAUCCUCCCUCUUCCCUUUAGUAAAUUGGCCACAAAAUAUAUAUAGUCUUUUGUCUAAUUUUAAAUAUAUAAGGUAUUUUGUCUUUUUUUACUUUCUUUGUUUAUGUGAAGGGUAUUUUUAGAAGUUAAUUAUUUGCCGUUUAUUUUAAGCUUUUUGAUCAUUUAUCCAAAACAAUAAACAAAGAAAAUUAACUUGCAGAAUUCAAAAGUUGGUCGAACAAAGGAGAGGACAACAUCUUGGAGAGAGCUGUAUCUCUGCAUUGCAGCUUUGAACUCAUCAAAGGUAACUUUUUCAUCGCUGUUUGCAUCAUCCGGUCCAAUAUUUCAUCCAACUUCCCAGAUUCAGUGGUAUCAGUUGGAAGGCUAUUGUGGAGCCUAAAAUAAUCCCAAAAAUUUUAGAGGCAACACGUAGACUUUUAUUCAAGAAGAACAAGAUUGCCCUCAAUAAAUGGGCAGACUUCUCAGAUUCUCCCACGUGCAGCUCACCUCCCUAAAGGACCCAGCAGCUGAACACAACUGUCCACAACUCACCUGCCCAUGGCAAGGAAUUAAAGAUAAGGAUUAAUUACCCAAAUCCUAUCUUUAAUACAUUUCUAAUUAAAGAUUGACUCCAAUCAAGUAAGUAAUCUUAAUUUAAAUUAAUUAAGGAUUAUUACCCUAUUAUCUCAAGAUAUUAUCUCCUAUUAAAUAUCUUGGGAAUAUUUAGAGAAUAUUUAUCCAUUAAACCUUAUAUGGCCGGCCCUAGCCCUAUAAUACCCCAUAUUCUACCAUUUUUGGGGGGCUUUUGCAACCCUAAAAAGCCAAAACACUUUACUCUCUCAAAGAAACUAACUUAGGCAUCGGAUAUCCGUUGACCUAACCCCCCCACCUCAUGGGCGUGUGAGGCUUAGGUCUCUGAUCAAAGGUGUUGAUUGUUUUGCAGGUGCUUUUUCAUCAAGACUGAAUGUGGAUGCAAAUUUCUUCCUCCUUGAUGACAAAAUUGCACCUACAAAACAAAUAACACCUUAGGUCAAGGCCAAGAGCCUCACGUGCCCACGAUGAAUGUGGGGGGGGGGGGCUUUGGCCGAAGAACCUCCAAUGCCAAAGUUAGAAUUUAGAGAGAAAAGUGUUUGAGAGUUUUGGAAAAUUUUAGCAAGAGUGUGGACCUCCUUUUUGAGAAAAAAUAGGGUCAUAUAUAUAGAGAAUGGGGGUGGCCGGCCCUUAGAGGCUUUUUGUGUGAAAAAUGGGUGAUUUAAUUGGUGAUUUAUGGAUUAAUUAGGAAUUAAUCCAUUAAUUAGCCAAUUAAUCUCCAUUUAUAUGGAAUAAUUUGUAGGUUAUGAAGUGAUUACCUGAGAUGAGGAUGGAUGAGAUAAUUUGGAAUUGGUUACCUUUUUCGGACACUCUUGGCUUGAUUAAAGAAUGAUUGUCCACUGCUCGCAUGUAGGACAACCGGUGUGUCUCAGGGAUAACUUUGUCCUUUUUACCAAAAAUCCACGUGUUACUUGUGAUUAUUUUUGGCUCCACAAAUGCCCCCACACCUGCUGGGCUGCUCACAGGAAAUGGCAACAGGUGUAGAGAUCUUCUUGCUCUAGGAAACUUAGGACUGCUUCCUGUUUUGAUGUAGAUUCCCUCUUUAAUAUAAAAUUAGAUCCUUCUAGGAAAGAGAAAUAAAUUUCUCUCAAAGCCUAUUUAAGUCCACCUUAAGUGUGUUAUUAAAUCAACUUUGGAGAGUGAUUUAUUCUACCCUACAAGAGAGAGAGAGAGCGCUUAGAGGAUAUUUGUUCCCCCUCCUCUAGCAAUCUUCUACAUCUUGGCCGUGCAAAGGACCGUCUUUCGUUGCUUUCUUCGUCUUCUCCGCGUCGCACCGAUGUAAGGAAAACUUAAUUCUCCUUGUCUUCUUCUUGGGAGGUGCUGCCACGGGGCAGCCAUCGGGGUGGUGCGGCACGUCGGCUGGCAGGGGCCAGGAGUCGACUUGUCAUGGGCCAAAGAGAUGGUGUGGUAGGGGCCAUUGCUUGUGCUGCUCGGCUUAAUUGAAGUCAAGGAUUGGCUUGGCAUGGGCCAAGGAAGUGAAGUGGCAUGGGCAACGGAUUGGGCUGCAAUGUCUGGGUUGCUUUGCUAAAAAUGAGGAAACUGCUUGAUUUCUCAGCUGCCGUAGAUGGAGCAAUCAAGGAUAAAGCUGCCAAGAUCGGAGCUGCUAAAGAUGAAGUGUCGGAUGAGUGAACUGUUAAGUGCAAAAGUGGUUGUUGCCCCUUAACCAUUCGCUCCCUAGUUGAUAUUCGAUCUUUUAAGCUAUGUAGCCUUCUCGCACUGGAAAGCUUACCCAGAUAGGUGUUAGCGAAUUAGUUUACCCUUAUGCAUUGGAGAGCAAUUAGUUUACCCUCUCGCAUUGGAAAGCAAUUAGUUUAUCCUCUUACACUUGAGAGUAGAUCCAUAUGGGUGUCGGGGAAUUGGUUUACCCUUAUGCACUGGAGAGCAAUUAGUUUAUCCUCUCGCACCGAAGAGCAGACCCAUACUGGUUUACCUUCUCGCACUGGAGAGCAAUUAAUUUAUCCUCUCGCAUUAGAGAGCAGACCCAUACGGGUGUCGGGGAAUUGGUUUACCCUAUCGCACUGGAGAGCAAUUAGUUUAUCCUCUCGCACUGGAGAGCAAUUAGUUUACCCUCUCGCACUGGAAAGCAAACCCAUACGGGUGUCGGGGAAUUAGUUUACCCUCUCGCACUGAAGAGCAAUUAGUUUAUCCUUUCGCACUGGAGAGCAGACCCAAAAAGGGUUUUGAGCAGUUGUUGUGGAUAGCAGUUGAGCCAGGCUUAUGAGUAACUUCUUGAACCUUCAUUGAGAAUGAAGAAAUAAAUCAAUUGUGCUAGAAGGUAGAAACUGCAUAACAUACUGGAUAAUCUUAGGCUUGCGAGGCCUUGUUCGUCGAGCUGCUUAAGACUUCGAACUUAUUUGGAAAAGCCCAAACGAGGUUCAUGGGGGUGACGGAGACUUCCCCUGCUCGUUUCGUUGACUUGUCAAUAUACUUGUUGCAUCGACCCUCAUUUGUUAGCUUCUCAAAGUACUGCUUCCACUUCAUGCAGUCGUUGGUAGUGUGGCCUGGUCCUUGAUGGAAUGCGCAAUACUUCGUAUGAUCCAACCUAGUAAAAUCGCCUCUCAUGGGUGGCGGCAGUUCGAACCAAGGUUCGUUCUUGAGCUUACGGAGAAUUUGACCAAUUGGAACUGUGAACUUGGUGAAUGUUUCAGGCACCGAGUCUUCUUUGGUUAGGGAACGUUCCACAUGCUUCUUUUCUGACUCAUUUUUGUUGGACUACUUGGCCUCGUCCUAUAGCGCAUGUUUUUCUGCCAAAGCAUAUGAAGUUGCUAGGGUUAGUUCUUCUCCCAUUAUUAGUUUUCGAAUAAAGGGUGUUCGGUGGGAAGCUCAUUUCUGAAUGCUGCCGUUGUUAUGUUCUCGUUCCAACCAACAAUCUUGGCCUUCUUCGCUUUGAACCUCUUGACAUAGUCGCGAAUUGUCUCCCAAGGGUUUUUUAUAAUGCUGAAGAGAUGGCCAGAUGUCAUUUUGAUUGAGCGGUUAGAUGAAUACUCCUUAGUGAAAACAAAGGAAAGUUUGUUGAAACUCCGGAUUGACUGCGACGGUAGAGUGUGAAACGAAUCUUGAGUCUCCCCUUGUAGAGUUAUGGCAAAAAUUUUGCACAUAAGUGUGUCGUUGUUCAUAUAGAGGAUCAUGGUACCGCAGUAGUGCUUGAGAUGUCGAUUUGGAUCUUUGUCUCCCUUGUACGGAGUGAAGUGAGGCAUGGUGAACCUGAGAGGUGGAUCUGUCCGCUCGAUCUCAUUCGUAAAUGGUGACAUGCUUGUACUGGUCAUGUCUCGUCGAAGCGAAUCAUCAGCAGCCUCGUUAUGUUGGAAAUUGCGCAAUCGUUUGGUUAUAAGCCUCUCAACUUAUUCUUGAAUUUGCUUCUGAUGGAGCAAUGCAACUUUCGGCUGCCUCCGAUCAUGACCUAUGGGUUUGGGCCGCUCUCUCAUAUGCUCGACUCGUCUAUGUCGUGGCUGCAGUACAUAGGGCAUGUCUUUGGCAGGCGAACGGGCUUCUUGUAGGCUGGCGGUUGAACUUGAGUCGAAUUAAGUGACUGCUUAUCUCUGUCUGUCGUGCUGCCUACUCUGAUGUGAGGUGGAAAAUACUCCUAGUGAGCGUAGUUGUGAAUGAACACUUCGCCUGAAAGGUUGUCCAUGUUGAUAAUCUGAGUGUGACCUCAACUGUGAACUUAUGUUCGUCUGGGCUUGAUCGGGAAUGCACGCUCAUCCGUGCGUUAAGACGAGGGUAUACGCUAUCUUAAGGACCCAGACUGGAGUGUAAACAACCUGAACGCUCGGAUCUUGACUGGUUGAUGGGCUACUUGCCGGGACUCUGGUGGAGAACUUCGUUUGCCCUUGUUCUAAUUUAGAACAUCUCGUCCGAGGCACGUUGAAUCUCAGUGCGUUGCAAGAGUUGAUUCACCAAGGUUAUUUGUUGUGCAAGGACGCUCGUCAACUCUAUGACUUGUCGAGACAAGUGUUGUUCGCCGUUUAGAUUGGAAGGGCUUGGAAGGAAUGUGCCUCAUUGAGCAAUGGAAUUAUGAUGGGCUCUGGGCGCGAGAUUUGAAUUGGGAAAUGUCAAAUCCACGGAGAAACGUAGUGAAAAUGCCCCUGGUUCGAUCGUAGGCCUAUAAAUUUACAGCCGGGACGGUUGAACUAAUCUUGGACCGAUUUGGGCUGCUUGGAAUGCCACGGGAGUAGGCUGGGCCACGGAAGCAGGCUGCUUGGUGAGAGCAAGCUGGGCCAUGAGAGUAGGUUGCUCAGUGUGUGGUGUAUAUAGGUGCGAGGCUAGGGCUCGGCUUGGCAACGCGUUGGGCUUGAAACGACAUGGCUUAGGAUUGCUUUGAUGGGACGAUCGGGCUGUGGUAGUGGUGCCAUGGACCUCGCCGCAAGUGGCUACUGAGGUAGCCACCAUGGUGGUUCCCAUGGUGGUGGUGCCGCUCCACUUAUUGUCACAUUUAGCCUCGUGGAUCGCUGUGGUCCCAUAUCUUGAAUGUUGAAAUUUUCAUUUGUUGAAUUUUCUAAAUUUCUAGCCAUUGUACUUUUGUUUUACGUUUUAUCAAAGAAUUUUUGCAAAUAAAAAAAUUCUAAUAAUAAGAACGUACGAAAAAUCUACAAAUGGACAAGAAAAUAGAAAACCUUGGAUGCGAGAGUCUUCUACAAAUGUGGGACUCAACUCUCAAUGAAAACACCAAUUUGUGGAUGAAAAUUUCUUCUUCCUUGAUCUUGGAGAUAAUUGCACCUAGAAAACAAAUAACACCUUAGGUCAAGGCCAAGAGCCUCACGCGCCCACGAUGAAUUUGGGGGGUGGGGGGCUUUGGCCGAAGAACCUCCGAUGUCAAAGUUAGAAUUUAAAGAGAAAAGUGUUUGAGAGUUUUGGAGAAUUUUAGCAAGAGUGUGGACCUCAUUUUUUAGAAAAAAAAUAGGGUCAUAGGGAAUGGAGGUGGCCGGCCCUUAGAGGUUUUUUGUGUGAAAAAUGGGUGAUUUAAUUGGUGAUUAAUGGAUUAAUUAGGAUUUAAUUCAUUAAUUAGCCAAUUAAUCUCCAUUUAUAUGGAAUAAUUUGUAGGUUAUGAAGUAAUUGCCUAAGAUGAGGAUGGAUGAGAUAAUUUGGAAUUGGUUAUCUUUUUUUGGACACUCUUGGCUUGAUUAAAGAAUGAUUGUCCACUGCUCGCGCGUAGGACAACCGAUGUGUCUCAGGGGUAACUUUGUCAUUUUCACCAAAAAUCCACAUGUUGCCUUGUGAUUAUUUUUGGCUGCACACUGAAGACGGUGGAAAUUUGCAUCGACAAAUUGGUGCUUUCAUUGAGAGCUAAUUCAAAAUACUUGAAGAAGCCUCUCGCAUUAGUUUGUUGAAUUUUCUAUUACGCUGAAUUUCUCACACGUCGUAUCAAUUAAUUUUUCCUAGAAAAAAUUAUUGAUCAAUCCCUGGAGAAAGGAUACAAUGGUAGGAAAUUCAAAAACUACGAUGAAUGGAACCCUAUACGUGCAAGGAUUUGGACCGGAGAGUCGAGAUGAGGAUAUAACCCCACAACGGAGAUCCUCGAGGCUCAACGCGACGGUAGGAGGAGCCCCACUGAUGCGAAGCCACGCCACCACCAUCAUCACCGUGACCCAGCAGCCAUGGCAAAGCCACUAAGCCACGACACCACUUCCACCAAACCCUAGGCAUGAGGCCUAGGUCCACUUCGAAGCCCUUGGGUAAGAGGCCCCGAACUUGGCAACUGCCAUAGCAAGCCCUGGGCAGGAGGCCCCGCCUAAUGCAACAGUAGGCUUUGUUGCACAGCAGGUCCGAACUCGGGCCCAGAAUUCGGUAGUUGCUGCCAGCCAAGCAGCUCAGUGGGCCCAAGCCCAAGCCACUCAGCUAGAGGGCCAAGAUGUGGCAGCCCAACGGCUAGGAGGGUCCACGGCCAUGCAAGUUCAAGGCAAGCAGGCACAGGUCUGACGCGCCCCGCGGUUUUUUCCAACGACCCAACCUGCAGCCUAAUCUAAUCCAUGGCCACCUUCAACAAUCCAGAUUUCGACCACCGGACCCGUAAUCGAUUCAGGGUUACUUACGCCCUACUUUUCUGCAGGAUUACUCACUCUAGGCUUAAGCUUUCUACCUACAGUCCACUAUACUUCCACCACGCAUGGAGACGCCUAUCAUCCAAGCUCUUCCAAUCCAAAUGGCAAGCACCACCUGCCCCUACAGGUUGCCAAUUUGAUGAACGCCCUUGCGCAGCAGACCACCUUGGCGAACCAACUCCUCAAGCGAAUUAAGAUGUAGCGCACCCCAGAUGAGGUGUCCCGAAGCAGGAUAAUGACGGAAGAACGUGACUCGUUCCAGCGAUGUCCCGGUAAAGAGCCGCUCAGUCCGUCACGAACCAUGCGUUUGGGUAGUGUGCACUCUUGUUUGGGCCUUAGGGGAAACGUUUUCUCCUGCCCAAAUGCAUAAAGAAGCGUUUAUUCCUUACUUGGCACACGAGUCAGUAUGCAUUCGAGGUUAAGUCCACAUUCCAAUGAGCACUCAAGACAUUCCAGGCAAAACGUCCGCACGAGGCUAGGCCUAUAAGAAGAUCCUCCUACGAGGCAACAUAGUAGGUAGCCACAUAAUGCAUAGAGAAGGGCAUGUGAACAGUCUAACUCAAGUUCCACUGGCAGCCCUCGCCCAGUGCAACGGCGAGCAGCAUAACAUGGACUACGUGCACAGUGACCGCGACACAGAAGAACAGGACAUGCUGAAGAGCAACAUAGACCAGCAGGUCAACACCGGGGGCAGCCGGAGGCUCCGCUGCCUCACCAAGUGCAAAUCCAAGAAGAAGUACAAAGGCUCGUAGCAGAACAACUGCGCGAAUUCCAGUGCAUUGACACUACCAAGAUGCCCUUUGUAGAAACAUGGCCAACCUGAGUAGGUCACCAUUUACAAACGAGAUUGAGCGGACAGAACCACAGCGGAAGUUCAACCUGCCACAUUUCACCUUAUUUAGGGGAGAUGAAGAUCCGAACAUACAUUUGAUGCACUACCGAAGUGCCAUGACCUUCUACGCCACCAAUGACGCUCUCAUGUGUAAAAAAUUUCCCACGACACUACAAGGCGAAUAACAAGACUGGUUCCACACUCUAUCGCCAAGUUCGAUUCGGAACUUCGACAAACAUUCCUUGGUUUUCACUAAGGAAUAUUUUCCUUACCGCUCAAUCAAGAAGAAAUCUGACCACCUUUUUAGCAUGAGGAAUGACCUGAAUGAGUCACUUCGCACUUAUGUCAAGAGAUUCAAGGCGGAAAAGGCAAAGAUCUUCAUAUGCAAUGAUAGCAUCACAUGCUCAACUUUCCGAAAAAGACUCCGAGCACAUCACUUGGUUUUUGGGGAAUUGAUUAUGGGUGAAAACCUGUCACUAGCAAACUCUUAUGCUUUGGUAGAAAAGCAUUCCCUCUGGGAUGAGGAAAAGCGCUCCCAGAAGCCGCCUGAGUAGCCACGUAAAGCCGCGAAACCAACUUAGAAGAAGGCGAGUGAUAAACCGCUCAACAUCAAUAACAAGCUAGGAGACAAACGUAAGGACCGGUCCCCAACGAAGGGAGGCACGGCGCCCAAGACAUACAUCAGGUUCUCAGUCCCGAUCAACCAAAUACUUCGCGACCUCAAGGACAAGCCAUGGUUCAAGUCGCCACCACCUUUAAAGGGCAACACCUCGAAGAUGGACCAAACCAAAUACUGUGCAUUCCACAAGGGUCUUAGGCACAUAACCAAUGAUUGCACCACAUGGAGAAGGUAUCUCGAGCAACUCGUGAAGGAAGGCAAGUGCGACCAAUAUGUCGACAGACCAGUUGCCUGGCCAAGGCAAGAAGCAGAUGUUGAUGCCGAACCCCCAACCAAGACAAUUCGAAUCAACAGAAUCUUUGUUGAAUCCGAGCAUCUGGGGCCACCAAUAACUCCAAGAAGAGGAAAAUCCAGCAGGUAAGAUCGGUCAAUUAAUUUCAAGCUGUAGAUGCUGUAUCUAGACCAAUUGUCGACUUUACCGAGCAUGACGCUGAGGGAGUAGACUUUCCCCACGACGACGCCCUGGUGAUUUCUGUACAAUUGGCCCAUUCCAUAGUUGACAGAGUCAUGGUGGACAACGGCAGCUCAAUCAACCUUCUACAACUGUUGAUCAUUCAAAAGAUGAGCCUGGAAAGUACAAUCCAACGCAAAGCAAAGGUCUUGACCGGAUUCAACGAACUUACCUCAACCGCUAUUGGCACUAUCACACUUGACGUAACCAGCCCACCAAUUGUCACAUCGCAGACCUUCAUGAUCGUUAGCGACCCAUCUCUCCAUAAUGGGAUAUUGAGUCGUCCUUGCCUGGUGAAAAUUGGAGCUGUGACAUCGACCAAGUAUCAGAAAAUCUAAUUCCGCAUCCCGGGAGGAGCAGUCAGAGAGAUCAAAGGCGACCAGGCCAUGUCUAGGCGAUGCACUAUACAAGUUCUCAAGGAGUCAAAGAAGAGAUCUUUCGCCCCAGCAGUAGUAGCUGAAAUGCAGAAAGAUGACUUUACCUCCUGCUAAAUAACAAUUACAGCAGGCCAGUCAAAAAGAUGGCAUUAAGGUAGACAAUGCCCUAGAAGAUGAAUCAGGAUGGAAACCUGAAAAAGAUGCCGAGAACAUUAUUGUUAACCCUCACCAGCCAGAAAAGACUGCUAGAAUAGGCUCAUGGCUGAGCCCAACGGAGAAUGAAGAACUCAUGGUUUUCCUUAGGGAAAAUCGUGACGUCUUCUCAUAGUUACCCUUUGACAUGCCCGACAUUGAUCUAGCGAUAACUUGUCACAAGCUAAACGUCAAUCCCGCUGCCAAACUUGUGAUCCAAAAAAAGUGACAUUUCAUACCAGAGUGAGUAGCGAUUAUUGAAGUGGAGAUCAACAAGCUACCGGAGGCCGGAUUCAUUGAGGAAGUGGCAUAUUCAGCAUGGCUGGCCAACGUCAUGCUAGUGAUGAAAAAAGAGAAGGGCAAAUGGAGAGUGUGUGUGGAUUACACCGACCUCAACAGGGCAUGCCCUAAAGACAACUACCCGGUUACCUAAAUCGACAUUCUCGUUAACUCAACAUUUGGGAACUAGCUGCUUAGUUUCUUAGACGCGUAUUCGGGCUACAAUCAAAUUUCCAUGCACAAUCCUGACAAAGAAGAAACUACAUUCGUGAUCGAGCAAGGCACAUAUUGCUACAAGGUCAUGCCUUUUGGCCUUAAGAACGCCAGAGCAACCUACCAACGACUUGUAAACAUGAUGUUCAAGAAGCAAAUUGGAGUCACCAUAGAAGUCUACGUCGAUGACAUCAUGGUGAAAGGCAAGCAACAGUCAGACCAUAUUCGUAACUUGGCGAAAAUUUUUACCAUUCUUCGAGAGUACAACAUGAAGCUCAACCUAGCCAAGUGCACAUUAAGCGUCUCCUCAGGUCGAUUCUUAUUGUACCUUGUAACCCAACGAAGAAUCGAGGCUUAUCCAAGGAAGAUCAAAGUGAUAUUAGACAUGAAAUCACCCAUGACUCUGAAGGAGAUCCAAAGUUUGACCGGAGGAGCUUCCGCACUCAAUCGUUUCCUUUCGCGAUCUACUAACUGAUGCAAGCCAUUCUUCAAGGCAAUAAAAAAGGUGCAGAAGGAUAAGUGGGACGAUGAGUACGAGAAAGCAUUUUAGGACCUGAAGCAGUACCUGACAUCACCUCCACUACUAUCCAAACCGGAAGCAGCGGAGAACUUAUACAUCUAUUUGGCGGUAUCGGAAGUAGCAGUGAGCUCUGCCCUCAUACGAGAAGAGACCCAACUGCCUGUAUUCUACAUAUCCAAAGCUCUCAUCGAUACCCACUACGAUCAGUUUUGCACAGUCCAAACGCUUUUCAACGAGUAAAGAAGUGGGCGUUGGAAAUUGGUCAAUACGGCCUAGCAUACUAACCCCGCAUAGCAAUAAAAGCCCAGGCAUUGGCGGACUUCAUAGCAAAAUUCACCCCAAGCCUGAAGGAUACAGCAACACAGCCUGAAAGUGCCCCGAAGGUAGCCGAGCACGCUAUAGCCAUACCUGCCCCACUUGAUGGAGAUUUUUGGCGUUUGCAAGUCGAUGGAUCAUCCAACCAUCUAGGAUCGGGGGCAUGCCUAGUUCUCACUCUGAGAUUCAAAGCAUCAAACAAUGAAGCAGAGUAUGAAGCCCUACUAGCAGGUCUUCAAUUAGCGAAAGACCUAGAGGUGAAAAAGCUCGCAAUCCAUUUCGAUUCCCAGCUGAUCAUCAACCAAACUUCAGAAGAGUACGCAGCAAAAUAUCAAAGGAUGACCUGAUACCUCGAGAAGGUACGAUAGUAGCUAGCGACAUUCCAAGCGUAAGUUCUGCAUUAAACCAUCAGCUUAGAUGCUCAAUCCCAGUGAAGUACCUAGAAAAGCCAAGCAAAUAUGAGAAACUAGCAGGCGAAGUGGCGCAGAUCAGCACGACCUCGAGUUGGCAAGAUCCCAUCAUCGACUACAUAAUCAAUAGAAUGCUCCCCGUAGACAAACUGAAGUCCAUGAAGCUCCAAAUAAAGGCAGCACGCUACUACAUGUGGAACGGCAUGCUCGUUCGAAUAUCCUUUUCAGAACCACAUUUCUACUGCUUAUUGUCUUCCGACGACCUGAAGAUUCUUAGCUCAAUCCAUAAAGGUGUAUGUGGAAACCACUCUGAGGCCGUUCUUUGGUGCAAAAAGCUCUCAAUGCUGGCUAUUAUUGGCCAACCAUGCAUCAAGACGCCAAGGAGUAUGUACAAAGGUGUAACAGUUGCCAACAUUUCAAGCCCGUGCCCGCACUACUUGCUAACGAACUCCAUUCACAGAUGAGCCCAUAGCCAUUCAUGCAAGGGGCGAUUAACUUGGUAGGACCAUUGCCACCUGCUAUUGGGGGCAGGGGCAUGAUGAUCGUAGUAGCCGACUACUUCACAAAAUGGGUCAAAGCCGAACCUAUAACCACAACUACCCAGAUAGACAUAAAGCGCUUCAUAUGGAAGAACAUCAUCUGCCAUUUCGGCAUCCCACACUCCAUCGUCACCGAUAAUGGUCCACAGUUCGUGGGCAAAGACUUGGCGAGGUUCUUCAAAAAAUAUGGCAUCAAGUAGCACACGUCUACGCCCCAAUAUCCAUAGGGUAACAGGUAGGCCGAGAUGUCCAACAAGACCAUCCUCGACUGCCUCAAGAAGACCCUCUCAGACAAGAAGGGCAAGUGGCUUAAUGAGCUCCCCGGUCUUCUGUGGGCAUACCGCACCACUAAAAGGCAAGCAACAGGCAAGACUCUAUUUUCCUUGGCGUAUGGUUCCGAGGCGAUCAUUUAUCCCAACGUCAUAGUGCCAAGCAUCAACACCAUACUGCUGAACCUCGAGCAGAAUGAAAAUGAGAUGGCCACUAACUUAGACCUGGCAGAGGAAGAGCGCGAGAAGAUCAUCACCCGCAUUGCGGCCUAUCAGCAGCAUUUCUUCUCCAGCUACAACAAAAGGGCAAAAAUCUGGCAAUUACAGCCAGGAGACUUAGUCAUCAGAAAAGCCUUCAUCACCGCCCGACAGGAAGGCUUUAAAAAGAUGGCUCCCAUCUGGGAAGGUCCGUACAAAAUCAGUCGAGUAGGCAGAAAGGGAAGCUACACCCUCACCACCAUGAACGACAAAGAAAUCAACAAGUAGUGGAAUGCCUACAACCUGAGAAAAUACUACGUGUGAUCUCUUACCAUUCUUUGGACCAUGUUCAAGACGAAAAAGUUUAAAGACUCAAGGUAGCUUGACGGACAGAGACCUCGCAUGCCAAGGAUUAUCAAUUGUUAUGACAUUAUUGCCUAUGAGCAAAGUUAAUAAAAGCCUCUAUUUUAAUUGAAGAUUGAAGGAAUUAUUCACAAGCCUGGGCCAAAUGCAUAAACCAACUGACUACCUUUUGUGAUAAGCAGAAGACACCCUCUUCCCGACGGACAUGGUGCAAGACACAUGUUGCUCUGCAGACAUGGUGUAAAACACCCUCUGCCCGACGGACAUAGUGCAAGACACCCGCUGCCCUGCAGAUAUGGCGUAAGAUGCCCUUUGCCCUGUAGACAUGGCGUAAGAUGCCCUUUGCCCUGUAGACAUGGCGUAAAAUGCCCUCUGCCCUGCAGACAUGGCAUAACCACCUCGAUAAACAGAAGACGCCCUAUGCACGUUCAGACAUGGCUUAUCCGGAAUAUCCAGAUGUGGAUGGGUAGUACGACUACUCAGUUUCUCCUGAUGUCAGCGACUACCUGAGCCAGACGACUAUUAGAAUUGGCCAAAAUAGUCCUUCCACGAGAAUAGACUUAGCCAACUGAAGGAUUCAAUUCCACGGGACCCGAGUCUUUAACCGGAAGAGAUAGUUAAGAGCAUGACCCUUGCCCAUGAAAGAUCUCGCGUGAACAAGAUGGUCCAUCCUCGAUGUGCAUAUCUUCAUGAAGUGGCUUGAUUUCAAAGUGUUGCAAUUCUAGUUAAGCGACCUAAGGGAUCAAAGCUGCGACUCGGAAGGAUAUUGUAAUAUCCCGAAAAUUUUAAGUGGGAAUUAAGAGUGAAUCACUUGUGGUCUUUGUUAGCAAAAAUUGAUUUGCCUUAUUUGAGGUUAGAUCAAUUGGCCUUUGGCCAUUAAAAGUUCUAAAAAAUAAACAAAAAAAAAAAAAGAAAAAGAAAAAGUAAAGCUGACGUUUAGGAUAAAAAAGGGGAUGGGUUCUAGAAACCCCUCAUUUAGCUCAUUUCCUUCCAGCUGAAAGAAAUGAAAGGGGUUUAUCCCCUUUAGCUCUUAUCUUGCCAAAAAGAAAAUCUAAGGAAUAAGAGUUUAGUUUCCUUGCUUGUGAAGAUUAGAACAAGUGAGGAUCUUUCCUUUGUCUCCAUUUAAGGUAUCUAUUUCUUACCUUUGGGAUCUAUAUUUGAUUUUUGGUUUGUUAACCCAUGAAUUACUUUGGGUGGGAGUAGGAAACAUGAAGGUAUCAUAGUUCAUGUUAUAGUUUUAGAGUUGAGCACCAAGUGUUUGAUUAAAGUCCCCAAUUAACCUUGAAUUAGGGUAUGUUGUUAGAUAUUUGUAUAAGUGGUGUGUGAUGAUUUUUCUUACUUAUAGAUAAGGAAGAGAAGGAGAAGGGGACUAUGGCACAAGUCAACGAACACCCUGGAAAUUGAAUGUCAAGAAAUUUAGUUUGAGGUAAGGGAGUUUUAACUAUAAAAGUAUUUUGAUUUUUCAUUUUUACUUGAUCAAGGAUUGUUGGCAUUUGAGCACUAUUCCAAGCUUAUUUGAAAUGUUUUUCCAUUUUCAAUUAUGUGGAAGAAGUGGAACAAAUCUCUUUAGAUUGAUUUUAAUAAUUCGAAUUUCGUUGCUAUAACUUUGGGGAGUUUAAAGUGAUUGCCAUGAUUUUUUUUAAAUUGUGUUGACGUGCAUGCCUUUCAUUUUACUCAAUAUCAAUUUCUGAAGCAUCUUGAUACGAAUGUUCAAAUUGUGAAAGUAGAUGGAAAGUGGUGUAAUACCUGUGUAGUUGAGAAUGUUGAGAAAUGUAUGAAUGGGCACAAUGACCCGUGAAGCUGUUUGAUUAUGGGCACAAUGACCCAAGGUUCCCAGAGGAAAGCUUCAUGUGUGGGGGCUAUGAGAAUGAGUUACGAAAGUGAUAAAUACAUGUGAUAUGUAUAUUGGCCAGGUAUAUUACGGUUCUUUCCAAUCUGCUUAUCACUUGUUGGGAUAAAAGAAGAUCUUUGUGAUUUGGUGUGCUAGUAAUUCUUUAAAUGAUAAUGGCUUUGUUAUCCUUAUGACAAAAGAAGUGAUUUCGAACUUGUGUGUAGUACCGUUGUUAUCAAGCUACUAAUGAUCCAAAACCUUUGGUUUUUCUAUCAUAUAUUACUUUCCAGAAAUGUUUGAGCAUAUUUCAAAUUGUUGGAUUACGUAGUAGUGAAAAUAAAUGGUUUUGAAUCACUCUUAUUACUUUCGGCAUGCACUAGAGAUUUUAAAUGACUACGGACUUACCCCUAUUGGGCAUUUUAUGCUCACCCCAUUUUUCUAAACAUGUACUUUCAGGUGUGUAGAGUUGACUAGCUGAUUUUCAAGUGGCAGCUCUAGUGUGGGCUAGUUGAAGGGAGUCCAGGCGUACACGUCUUUUGGGUGAGCUACCAAAGUGUUGUAUAGUUGGUCUCUGUCUGUAAUCGAUCCUUUUGUUGUGUAGUAGCCUAAGUUGUUGUAGACCUCAGUGGGUUAGAGUCUCUACUUACCUGGUCCAUGAGAACCAUGUAUAUAUAAAUACUCGUCUUUUAGCUUGUAUAGUUUUGCUUAUGUACAUUUUCCUCAAAUGGCCUGAAAAUGUUUUCUUGUUAGAAGCCCUAAAGGUUUUUUAUGAACUUACUUUAAUCUGGAAGGUUUUAUGAAUGGCUCUUGAAGAACCACUAUGAACUUGGUUAUGUUUAAAACUGUGGGUGUGUAUCUAUUACCUAAGUGGUAUGUUGCAAAAUUCAGAUUUUUGUUCUUUGGAAUAUAAAUCGCUUUAUUUGCAAAGUAAUUUAGUGCUGCUGAAAUUGUUUUUACAGGAAAACAGCAGCAAGCCUGUUUUAGUUUUAAAAUUUUCCUAUACUUUCCGAACUCAAAAAUCAAUGAAAUUUUGACACAGCUUAGUUUCAUGGGGCUACUAUGGAUCUGGAAAUUUUCACUCAUUUUGGUUGAACGAGAUAAUUUUCAAUGAAUUUUACGGUUCAGGUCGCUUUUACAGUUUGUAUUACCAUGAGAUCUUUAACUCUUUCUUUAAAUUGACUUUUGUAGUUUAACUUUAAGGGAAUUGGGGAUUUAAAUUUUCGUUGACAUAAUCUUAAGAUGAGAUUUGUUUUGCAUCCUUAAACAACCACUUUGUUUUAUUUAUUUUGACUUAAUCUCACACCUCAAGUUUUGGGGUGUGACAAUUUGGUAUCAGAGUCUAGGGAGUAGGAUUGUUAGGGUUGAGUCUAGAAGUUUUAGCUUAAUUAAUAUUUUCUUGGGGAGUCUAGCAGAGUCUGUUGUUGUCGAAUAAAUGUUUUCUACAUCGUCUCAGGAUUGAAGGAUGUCCGCUGUAGCCAACACUAUUGAUCAUGAUGGUGAUGAUCAAAUGAAUAUUGAUCAUCCAAUGAACGAUCAGGGAGUUAAUAAUGUGAAUUGGAGACUGACAUGUUUGAAAGAUUUUCAAAAGUUAAAUCCUCAUAACUUUGCCAGAACCACGGAACCCUUAGAGGCAGAGUCUUGGCUUAAACAAGUGAAAAAGAAAUUAGAUGUUUUGAGAAUCCCCGAGGAUUUUAGAAUGGAGUUUGCUGCCUAUUUGUUUGUUGGUGAAGCAGAUCAUUGGUGGGACUAUAUCAGGAGGAUUGACAAUGUUGAAACCAUGACUUGGGCUAAUUUUGAGAAGACCUUCUAUGGCAAAUACUUCCCUCAAACCGUAAGGAAUGCAAAGUUGAAGGAAUUUGUUGAGCUAACUCAAGGCAAUCUCACAGUGACUCAAUAUGAAGGUAAAUUUACACAGCUUUCUUGUUAUGCACCACUACUAGUUGCUAAUGAGGAGAAUAAAACUAAUAGAUUCACUGAUGGUCUUAUACGCCUUAUACGGAAGAUAAUAGUCGCAUUGGGGCUGACAGUCUACAAGGAGGCAAUGGCUGCCACUUUACGAAUUGAGCAAGAGCAUAAUGAUCAUAUGGCUAAGCAAGCUAAGAAUAAGGCUCUUUCAAACAGUGGAAGGAAGAUUACUCGGAUAACUGAUUAUAGUGGUCAAAAAGGUGGCAACAAAGGAAGCAGCAGUAAUAGCUAUUUCAGAAAUCCAAGACCUAGCCCUUACUCUUGUUUCAAGUGUGGCCAACCUGGUCAUCUUCAACAUCAAUGUCCACAAAAGUCGAGUGUCACGACUAUAGUCAUCUACUUCCUACGAGAAGCACGGGCCCAACCGACGACUCUAUAGGUCAAAAAUCUCGCAACAAGCCUUGGGAUGGCCAAGGCUUAAGAAGCCACUAAAGUUGAGGGUCACAACUAUAGUAGCUGCGCGGACCUCCUCUACUUUCUAUAAGAAGCACGAGUCCGGCUGACGGCUCUAUAAGUUAAAAAUCUAGCAAUGUGCCCCGGGAGGGCUAAGGCUCAAGAAGCCACUAAAGUUGAGUGUCACAACUAUAGUAGCUGCGUGGACCUCCUAUGCUUCCUACGAGAAGCAUAGGUCCGGUCGACGGUUUUAUAAGUUAAAAAUCUCACAACGUGCCUCGGGAGGGCCAAGGCUUAAGAAGCCAUAAAGUCGAGUGUCACGACUUAUAGCAGCUACGCGGACCUCUUCUACUUCCUACAGGAAGCACGAGUCCGACCGACGACUUUAUAAGUAAAAAAACUCACAACAUGCCCAGGAAGGUUAAAGCUCAUGAAGCUACCCAAAGCUGAGAUCCGCAACUCGCCUGCCUCCUAUAGAGAUGACGAGCUCGGCUGCCAGCCCUAUAAGUUGGAAAUCUCGCAUUUCUUCAUUUUACAGGUAAAGCUCUAAAAACCCCAAAGCUAAAAUUGAAGCCUAAAGUGAUCACUUGAGUUAACUGCUCAAUCGGAGUAGCCCACUCAAUUGCCUGUCCUACGACAAAGUUUUGCAAAACGUCUCAAGCAGGCAAGGCUCCCGAAGCCCCAAAAGCCAAACUAAAACCCAAGUAACAAUGUGGGAUCAACUGCUUUGUUGAAGCAGCUCACCCAGCCGCCUGUCCUACAGUAAAGUUUCGCAAAAGACAUGGCAAAAUAAAAGGAUGAAGCAAAAACAAGGAAAACUGUUUAUUAAAUCUCUAGCAAAUUGAUAAACCAGCUCGAGGCCAACAAAGUUCAAGCAAAGCAGAACAAAAAGGGAAAGAAGAAAAAUUCCUAAGUGUAAGUAAAUAGACUACUCCUUAGCAGCUUGUACAACCACUGGAUCCUUAACAGCCCCGUCUCCAGCAGCCAUGUCAUUCCUAGCAGCUAAAGCUUCCAUCAAUUCAUCUUCAGCCGCCCAUGCCUGGACUGUCUGACCUUCAGCUGCUCCACCAAAGGCAGCCUUAAAUGAGAAAUCAAGCAGGUCAACCGGAGAAAUAGAAAAAGUCUCGAAGUCCUUUUUGGAAAACUCAUAAUCUGACGGCCUGCCCUGAAAAUGGUCUACAUAGCCAAGCUUGUGGAAAUCGGCCAGACAAGAAGCAAGCGCCACUUCGUGACCAGCUUUCUCAUUCUUCAGCUGCACAUUCUCCUUAACAAGCCUAGUGUGAGCACUCUGCAGCUCAUCCAGUUCCUUUUUCAGGUUCUCGUUAGCAGACAGCGUACCUUGCAAAUCCACAUCCAUGGACUCAAGUUUACUGGCAAUCUCCUUGAGACAAGACACUUCAGCAUGCAUGAAGAUAAGCUCUUCGUCCUUGGCACGCUCAAGGUCUUUGACCACCGGAGAAACAAGACUGAUUUCCUUCUCUACAGCUUACAACAUCGCUUGAGUCACACUAAGCCUAGCGUUCAAAUGGGUGGCCUCUUCACAAGCGAUCUCCAACUACAAAGAAGUGGAGGUAGAGACAUCAGACCCAUUCAAAACGGCGAGUUCAGAUUCGAGUUUCUCAAUCUUUUUAGCAACCGAGUGAAGCUGAGCCACCAAUGCCACUUCGGCCUCUUUAGCACACUUGAUAACAUUCUGAUCAACGCGCAUAGACUCAGCUGCCGGGAUUAAAGUCUUAUGCAUUGUAGCAAUAAGGGAUGACCUUCUUGAGUAAGCAGGACACUUCGCAAAUGAGUCUAAGCGGAUGACAACUUUCCCAACAUUGUUAACAAACUUGGCGCAUGCAUCGACGUCCUCAAGCAGGUCAGCCUUUAGCAAUGCAUAAACCUCAGGAAACUCUCCAGCCUCAGACUCAGUGGAUCUCUCACAACUGCCCACGCGAGCAGAUUUCCCCUUCUCAGCAGAAGAGUCAGUCACGACAGAAUGAGAAGAAGGCCCAGGUGCCACUUUAGCAGUAGAAUCCACCUUCCCGCUCUUCAUAGCGACGAGCCUCUCAGAAGCCGAUCCAGACUUAGCUCCCGAUGGACGUUUCAAUACAAACCCGGACACCGGAGGUACCACCGAACCCUUCUGCUGGGCAAGUCUCUCAGUAAUGGAUGCAGUCUCCUUCGAAGUAGUAAGUUUCAUAGGCUUAGGCUCGAUGGUCUUCUUCGCCCCCUUGGGGGAAGUUAGAUCAAUGACAAACCUCUCGGCAGCAGACGAGCUCCCACGAACAGCAGAGGAAUUCCUUAGCUUAUUCUCGGCUGAAGGCUUACGGGCAGGUGAGGAAUAUCUUUUCUUUCCACCCUCGUUAGUAGCAUGCUCUACAGCAGAGAUCAGGUAAGCUAACGCCUCACCCUUUAUCCACUUUAUCUCUUCAUUUGGAGGCAGACCACCUUUCUCCGGACGAAGAGGGCUGAGCAGCCAACGCCACUCACGAUACUCAGCAGGAAUGCCCAAGGCAACAUGCACUUUCUUUAUAUCUGUCGAAAUCCUUGGACUUGAGCCAAACUCUGAAUCUACGCAAAGUAAGAAAGACGAUCAAUAAAUUGAAGUCAUAGAGUAGCUCAACAAAAAUUCAAGCAGGACAAGAAUGAAGCAAUUCACUUACCACUAAUAAAGGUAGUCGGGACAUGCAGGUUAGGAAAAAAGUCAUACUUUCACUCUCCGCUCACCUUCAAUGUGUCUCUCACCCAUUCAAGAUCACAUUUGCUAGAAGCAUUGAACAGCCUAUGACGAGACCUCAGCUGCCCUACACUUUCCUUGUGGCCUAUCUCAAAGAAGUACUAGAACUCAUUUAUGGUCAAGCCAAGAUCAAAGAACCUACUUAAGUUUGAGAAUGCCACCAUCACACGAACUGCAUUUGGGGAGCACUGAGCGGGCAUGCAUUUCAUGGAGCAGAUCACCACUUGGAAAAGAUGUGGGAUGGGAAAAGUGAAUCGUAACAGAAAGUAAUAUGGAUGGAAUUUGAUAGUUCUCUUUCCAUCAAAAGUACCCUCGUCACAUAGUUCAUGGCUACUAUCAUCUUUCACCUGCUUGAUGCGAAACCCAGACGGAAUCGCAUGCUUGUACGCCUCAAGAAAAUCCCGAAACAACUCGUCAGAAUUGAUCUUGACAUGUGCAUCCUUGAAGUAACCCACCUUGUCGGAAGAACCACCUUAACGAUACAAAGGUGGAGGAUAUUCGUCACUUUUGCGGUCGAAGGAAGACAUGAAGCGGCGAGGCCCGAAGGUGCCAUACACCCCGUGGCCCAAGAUGACAGAGCCCAGCAUGGGGGGAGACUCGCGCCUUCUUCCCCUUUCUCCUUCAAUGCCCCCGUGCACUCCAAGCAGUCCUUGAGGCCUCUCGGCCAGUCCCCUUCGUUCCCUCUCGCCUGCAAUAGUAGGCCUGCACUGUUGCACCUAUCUCGGCCCCUACCAAGCAAAUUCAGAUGGGCUAGAGCCUUACGGCUUUCCCAGCUCAACGCCCCCACUCACCUAUAGCACCGUGGCCUCCCUGCCACACCAUCCAUGCAUCCUUGGCACCCACCAAGCCAAUUCCUCAAGCCCUAAGGCUCCUAAAAAUUCAAGAAGAAGAAAAAAUUCAAAUUUUUCUUACCUUGGUGCGACACAGAGAAAAAGAAGAACAACGAGAAACGACUCUUCGCAAAGGCAGGAAAAGAAGAACGCUACGAGAGGAAGGAAGAAAAAUUAUCCUCUGGCUUCUCUUUCUUGUUGGAAUAAUGAUUGUUCUCCAAAUUUAUUUAAUCCCCUACUUAAGGCAGAGUUAAAUAGGUAUUGGGGGCAAUUAUUUUCCUUUUCCUAGAAGAAGUCUAUCUCUAAAUCAAAGAAGAAGAUCAAGUUCAAAUUAGGAAACAACUCUACAAACCCAAGCAGCUUGGGAUUUCUACACCUACUGCCCUUUCCAUGAUAGCAGCACAGUAGAUGUGGGGGCAUUUGUGGAGCCUAAAAUAAUCCCAAAAAUUCUAGAGGCGACACGUGGACUUUUAUUCAAGAAAGACAAGAUUGCCCUCAAUAAAUGGGCAGGCUUCUCAGAUUCUCCCAUGCGCAGCUCACCUCCCUGAAGGACCCAGCAGUUGAAUACAAAUGCCCACAACUUACCUGCCCAUGACAAGGAAUUAAAGAUAAGGAUUAAUUACCCAAAUCUUAUCUUUAAUACAUUCCUAAUUAAAGAUUAACUCCAAUCAAGUAAGUAAUCCUAAUUUAAAUCAAUUAAGGAUUAUUAUCUCAAGAUAUUAUCUCCUAUUAAAUAUCUUGGGAAUAUUUAGAGAAUAUUUCUCCAUUAAACCCUAUAUGGUCGGCCCUAGCCCUAUAAAUACCCCAUAUUCUAUCAUUUUUUGGGGGCUUUUUGCAACCCUAAAAAGCCAAAACACUUUACUCUCUCAGAGAAACUAACUUAGGCAUCGGAGAUCCGUUGACCUAACCCCCCCACCUCACGAGCGCAUGAGGCUUAGGUCUGCAGGUGCAUUUUCGUCAACAUUGAAGACGGUGGAAAUUUGCAUCCACAGUUAUCAUCUGGUAGUUAAAGCCUCCAUCUUCCUUUGUAUGUCAAAAAUCAAUUUAUUUGUAUGUCAAACAAUUUCAGAGUGAUGGGGUGAGGAAGUUGACAAUUCACACUUAAAAGAACUUAUGCUGAUCACGGUAUUGUGAAUCGGUUUUUUGUUUUUUGUUGGUAUCCUCACACGCCUAACAAAAUGAUUUGGGAGAAUGUAAACGCGGUCAUAUUAGAGCAGGUCCACCCCUAAAGACUUUGCGCCAGCACCCAGUGCAUUUAUCCACUCAAAUAAAUAGUGAUAGACCACAAUGAACAGUAAUAGGCCAAUGAAUCUCCACCCCUAAAAAAAAUAGUCUAGUCAAUUUUAUUAAAAUAUUAGUAUUUUUAUUAUAAACACUUUCUUCUUCUUCCUCCUUCAACUCCUCUGACUGUCGUUUUGGUCCCCACGAUGCGUCAAUUCCUUCACUCCCAUCGCCAUCGCCCGCAUCUAGUCCUCAGCCUCAACCCCACGUCAGCAGCCGCUGCCCCCACCCUCUUGCCGCCGCCUCUACCACCAUCGCCUUCUCUCUCAUCCUCUUCCUCCUAGCCUGCUUCCGAAAAAUCACCCGGAAGCGGACUGCCCCGGAAUCCGACUCUUAGCCCUCCCACCGGUACUCCUACUCCGUCCUCCGCCAAGCGACUGACUCGUUCUCUUCGACACGCCGAUACGGCCAAGGCGGCUCCGGGUCCGUGUUCUUUGGCACAAUCCCACACACCCGCCAAGACGUCGCCGUCAAGCUCAUGGACUCCGGGUCGCUCCAGCGUGAGAGUGAGUUCCAAAACGAGCUCCAGAGCGAUUCAUCGCUCGUUGUCUCGAUGCUCGGAUUCUCCUCCGACGCCACGUUGACGUCAGAUAGGCCAGUCUCUGUCGAUUUUAGGCCGGCCUGUGGACUGGCUUGGGCUGGGUGCCAGUCGAUUUCACGGGCUGGAGUGAAUUGAUAGGGUGCCAGCCUAGUUUUUUGACUGGGUGCUUGGCUAUUCUGUUAGAAAUGUGCCCUAAAACCAAUCAUGUGAUGAUACUUUACGGACAUUUCACAUGUUAAACUAAUCUAGUUUAAUAUAAAGGGCAAAGAUUAUUGUUUGAGCCGUCUCAUAUAAAUGUUAUAUGCUUAAACGAUAAAGUCCAAGAAAUAUGUGAUUGGGAGAAUGCGAUCUAAAGAAGUUAGAUUCAUGAGACCAUUCUUUCGUAGACACAUCCUAAACGUUCCUGAUCAUAGGAUUGCCAAUUGGGCAUUGACAGUCCGUUAAAAUCAGUACGUACUGUGUCUUCUCUCAGGGAGAGUAACUAGUCUCGAGUCAUUGGUGUGUGUGACAUCAAGACAAGUACGUAGGUGCUCAAUAGAGAAUGAGUUCACUGAACACGAUCAACGAAGAGUUCUCAUAUUCAUGUCACAUGAGAACUCAUGGUUGGGAUAAUGCAAAGUAGUCCUUUGACCUGAGGCAUCACAGUUGUCUUGUGGUUAAGUCCUUGAUCUUUGAUUAUGUCAAAGUCACCCCAUCGGGGUGUCCACGGCAUCGUUGGGGUUAAGCCACUUAGUCAUGGAGGCAAGUGAAUGCGCAACAAGGGAUCUCUAACCUUCAAACCGUUUGAGGGAGAAUACUCUAUGAUAUGAUUUAAGAAUCUCUGGCCAGAGUAUGAAUGAGAUUUAGGAAAGCGUUCCAAAUCACAUUCAAGGUAAUCAUAUAAGCACACGAAUCACAUUGGAUAGUAGACAUGAAUAAAUAAACUAUCAAACCAAACAAUGUGGUCAAGAGUAUUGUAUUAGAGAAAGACCGUAUUGCAUUUGUAAUCCUAAACUGAAUAGGUUCUCCACCUCUUCUGAUUAGCUUGGGUAACCAUGAUAUGCUGCUAGGUGUCACUCAUGGUUUGUGGAAGCCCUAAACGUGUGUAAUCACCAAAGGGAGAAUUGAAAGUAAGUUUCAAUUCACAAUCGAUGUGAAAUGGUUUUAAUCGCCCACUGCCUCGCUAAAAGGAACCUAAUGGAUCGCACACCGUGUAAGGUGGAGAUUAAAGAAACAAUGGAGAUGAGUAAGAAUGAUUAAAUGGUUUAAUUAUUUAUUUAUGGCAAGGAUUAAUUAAUAUGUUAAUUAAUCAAACGAAUAAGUUCGUUAAAGACCUCGGGAUAGUUUUGGACCUUAAGGCCUAAUGGGCUUCGAACGUCAAGUCCAUUGACUUAAGUUGUAUGACAACUUAAUUCACUAAGACCCAAAAGCCCAAACUACACCCUAAGGCCGGCCAUAUUGUUAAGGGUAGUGAACUUGGACUUAUUUACAAGUUUGCCACUCAAAUGAAUAAAGGUAUAAAUAUGACUUUAUAGCCAAAAUUCAUUAAGGGUUUGUUUUGGAGAAAAUUGGGAGAGAACAUGUCUCUCCAUUUCUCUCUAAAGAGGCCGGCCACUUGGAGCGUGCAUCUAGCAAUCCCACUACUCCAAGGUCACUCAUUUCUUCUCCAAUCUCUCCUUGGUGAAGAGACUUAGAGGUUCUCAAUUUUGGGAACUUGGAGAAACCUUUUCAUCCAUCCAAAUCCAUAGAUUUUAGAUGCAAGGAAUGAAGGCCCUCUCUUUGGGUGAUUAGCCUUUGCUUAUGCAAAGAGGAAUCUACAAAGGUAUAAAUCUCAACUCACUUUGUUUUGAGUUGAUUAAUGGUUCACCAAUCUACUAGGCUUUGAAUUUCAUGGUUAAUGUUUUGUUUUUGAAUGCAUGCAAGCAUGAUUCCGCCUUUUAAUUGUUAAAUGCAUGCUAUAGAUGUUAUUCAAAUGAACAUGUUUUCACAAAAUCAUCCUUCAAGUGGUAUCAAAGCCUAGGUCUAGUAGUUGGUGAAUCCUUUUGGGUUUUGUAGUUCAUAGUCUUUGAUUUAAAAGUUGUAAUUGUUACAAGCUUUAUUCUUGUUUCUUUGAAUGUAAAUUUUGUUAGAAAAUUUGCCAUCUCAAAUGUUGUAGAUGUAGUUCAUAUGAGCAUGAACAUUGAAGCUAAAAUUUGGUGCCAUGCUUUUGGGAAUUUUCGGCCAAAUCCAAAGGGUGGAUUUUUGGGUUCUUGUUUGACUUGUUAAAAGUGUUUUCAAGUGACUUUUGGAACCCCUAUGUACCCUAGUUUGGUUAGAUGUUAUUUCCCUUAAGUUUGAAUGGUUUUGGAAUGUUUUUGGGUGGAAAAAGUUCAUGGAAAAAUUUUGGGUUUUUCAUGGAUGUUCUUCAUUGUUCUUGACAUUUUUGCCAAGAACAAAAAGGUUUGUGUUUUGAUUCAAAGUUUUGAUUUAUUUCAUAAAGUUUAUGUUUUAUGUUUUUCAAAUGUUUAAUGUGUUAGAUAUUUAUUUAAAUGGUGUAAGAGAUGUAAGAGAUAUUAUGGUGGGUGUGAAAGGAUUAAUUCCCUUUCACACACACCACUUGCAUCACUUGCAUGCUUUAUGUCAAAACUACAAAUCAACACACACAUCACUCUCUUUGGUCUCCAAAACCGGCCACCCUACAUGUAGGGUACUUUUGGGGCUUUUAUGCAAUUACAUAAAGUUUUGAUACUUUUGUGUAUUUGCACUUUGGCCCAAAAGUUUACGUUUUUACGUUUAGGUCCAAAAACGCUAAAGGACAAAUUGUUUUGCUCCUUUAAUGAAGUUUUUGCAUUAUUAAAAUUUUGGGUUCUAGUUGUAAUUACAUGAAGUAGUGGACUUUUGUGUUUUUACAAAGUGACCCCAAAAGUUUUGCAAUAUAGCCCAAAAGUUGAGGUUAAUUGCUUUAUGGCCCAAAUAAAUUGUGGUUAUUGCAUAUUGGCCCAAAUUAAGUAGAGAACAAAAUUGUUUUGUCUCUUUAAAUGAGAAUUGGAUUUUCAUUUUGUUUAGCUCCAUUUAAAUCAAUUUUAUGGAUACAAAAACCAAAUGAAAAUGUUGCAUUCAAUUUAAUUAGUUAAAGUGUUAAUUAAUUAAAGGGUGAUUAUGAACCUAAGCCUAAUAUAAUUGAGCUAUGUGAAUAGGCCGUUUCAAAUUUUGUUUGAACCAUGGGAAUGUGUAGAUUAGAUUUUGGUUGUAAUUUGAUUUGAUCAAAUGUUGUAAAAGGGCAUAAGCUCUUCUUUACUUUAAAGUAAUUUGUUUUAUGCAAAUGUUGUAAUGAGCAUAAGCUCACCUUUACUUUGAAGUACUUCUUUCUUGCUUUAUUUGAUAUGCAUGAAAAUGAAGUAGUUGGGUCCAACGCCCCUAAGACAACACGCCUUAAUGUGAUUAAACGCGUAACUAAAAUCAAUCACCAUCCCUAGACCGAGAUUCAACACACAAGGCUCGUGUUGAAUCUAAACAAAGGUUCAUAGUCAUCCUAAGGCCCUAAGGCAACUAUAUAGUCCAUCAAAUGAAUGCAAAGGUUAUGUUAGUAGUAUCAUAUACUCUUGCUUUAAAAAACCGUUUUAUAAGCAUAGUGGGAGUAUUAUAUACAACUAAAAACAAUCAUAUGGACCAAUAGUUGUAAUAGGACCAAAAUUGUUUUAAUAGAGAUUAAAAUGUAUGUUUAUAUGUGAUGAGACCUAAAACCCUCAACCAAACCAUUAUUAAGUUGAUAAGCGUGAGAGUGCUUUGAACACUCUUUCGUGGCCUUCCACCGUGGUAGGCUCCAAUCGUUUUGUGACUUCGUACACCGGCUUCACCCUAUCAUGGGGGAGUACAAAGUGCGUGCUUACACUCAGGAGGAGUUCUAUAUACAUACAUGAAUGAAGUGUAGGCAACGAGUUGAUAGCCAACAUGAUAUCAUUCGUGAGGCUAUUCUUGAACCCCUACACGAACUAGCAUGGUGGGAAUGACUUAACUAAGUGCAAUGGAGCCAACAUGAUAUCAUUGUGAGGCAUCAUUCUCUAGAGGCCAAAUAAGAUGGGUACUUGCAAGAGAUGCAAAUGAGUAAGCGUACUCUCUCAUUUAUUAUUAACGCUAGCCAAAUCAACAUGAUAUCAUUCUGAGGUGGGCUUGGUAAUAGUGAGCCUCCCAUACCCUACUAAGAGUUUCUUCCAAAACUCUCGAAUUCCAAUGAGGGAUAUGGAAUUUGCCAAAAAUAGUGGGUGGUGGUGCUAUUUUGAUUUAAAGACCCGAAUCAAAUGGCUUAAAAUCAAUCAAUUUAUAUUCGUUAUGUAUUUGUUUACCAAUAUAUUUGCAAACGCUAUCCAACACUAUAAAAGCCGAAAGCUUUAGUUUCCAGACUUGGUACUACAAUCCCAAAGAUUGUCUUAAAUGGAUUGUAAAUGUACCUAAGUAGUCUCAUCCUCACAAUCUUCCUAUUGAUAAUGUAUCAUUGGAAGAACAUGUUAGAUAAAGUCUAUCAUAAGAGGACAACACUUUUAAUGUCAUAAUUCUUCAAUUACAAAUUUGUUGUAUGAAGAAAUAAGAGUUGCUUUGAACAACCCUUAGUCAAUGCAAACACUUAGUGCUUGUUUCUUUGUUACAUGAACAAGGAACUUGAGAAGAAAGCACACAAGGGCAUGGACACUUUAAUGUGCCAUGAUUCUUCACUUACAAAUUGUUGUAUGAAGAAAUGAGAGUUGCCUUGUACAACUCUUGAAAGUUUGUAAUUAUGUUUAGAACAUAAUGGUUGGUUGACAAAAAUAGUCCAUCAACAUGGACUUAUGAUGAUUUUGAAUCAUUGAGUGUUGAAGUGAUAAACCACUUAACGAGACGGAAACUAGGCAAGGACUUCACCUUUGUGUCCCUAUCCUAAUGGUUCACUAAGUUUAUUGUAAACUAUAUAGUGAACAAUAACCACAUGCUCUCCAAAUUGUUUGAUGUGUAUAACACAAUUGAAAUAAGUUUCAAGAGAGAUAGUGGGAGUUUAGGGACCAUGACUAUUGUAGUCAAAGGAGAAGUCAAAUGAAGAAAGCGAAAUUAACUCCAAGGGAACAAACUUUCUUUAUGAAAGGAUGGACAUUGGAAGGGGUAUUUGCAAGAAAUGUCUUGCAAGUGUCAAGAACACACCUUUCGAAGGUGUUGUAAAUUGUUCUUGAAUAGUUCAAAACAGUUGGUUCUUCUACUUGAAUGCUUGAUUCCGUAUUAGUAACUAUGUUUUACAAUCGUUGUAAAAGUGUGGCUAAUAAGAAGUAGAAGAUUAAUGAGAGAAGAAGAAAGUACUUCACAUUCGGAAACGUGAAUCAAAUGUAGAUCUCUGCGAAAGCAGAUGGUACUUACUUCCUCAUAUGAACUACCAAAGAAAUUGGAAAAACCAAAGAUUGUCUUUACAUUCCAAUUUUAAGGAACUUAAUUCCGUCACUAUAGUAGAGAUGGAUGAAUGUUUUGUUUGACAAAACAUUGUUCUUUAUUAAUCAAUGAUUGGAUUAUAGUAAUCUAAUUGAUUGUCUCUAUAGUAGAGAUGAUAUGGUAGUGUUAACUGUUUAGAAUAUAAUGAUGCUUAAAACCCAAAAGGUUGCAAGGUAGUGACUAAUCCCAACUAAAGUUGUGAUACCUCUAAAACAUAAAUUACGAGUUGGUCAUAGAUGGAUGCUUUGGAUCGUUAGAUCCGGAUCCAAUACCUUCUUGUUAAAAUUGUAUAGAGGCGAAAUGUUCGAAUCUUUAUUCUUUUGGAAAGAAGAAAGAAUCACAAAAGUUGUUGAGGGUUAAUUCACUUAGAUGUUAGUGGCACUUGUCCACAACAUAAUACUACUCAUGUUAUAUGACAUUCACCGAAGAUCACUCUCGGUUGGACUAUAGUUUAUUUUGAAUAAACACAAGUCCGAAUACUUUGCAAAAGGUUUCAAAGAAUUCAAGAAAUGUAAGUUGAUGAGUAAGACGUCUAAAGUAUUUACCUCCUUAGAUUUGAUCUAAGGAAAUGGUAACACUUUAGAAUAGUUUUCCUUGAAAGAUAUCAAGGAAAAUAGCAUCAUAAGAUAAUGAAUUUCUCCAUUAGGAGAAGAACGAACUCGAAUAAGAUUUAGUUCGUUAGAUGUUAUCUAUUACCCAUAUAUAGGAUAUAUACUUCUAAAACAAUAUGAUUGUCAAUUAGAAGAUCUUCCAAAUUUUUCAUGACUCCAUAAGAUGUAGUUGGAAAGAAAGACAAAUCUUAAGCAUGUUAAGAUUUGGGGUUGUGUGCUAAUAAGCAAUAUUUGUUUGAUAACAAUCUUGUGGGAUAUCCUUAAAUUAACUUUUGGAUAUCGCUUCUAUAAACCAACUAACAAAUGUUGUUUUGUUGGGUAGUUCAUUGUAAUCUUACAAUGUGAUUUGCCUAAGAGCAAAUGAACGAGAGAUAGAACUCAAAGAAUGGGUUCUUUGAGAGACAAGAAAGUAAUCAAAACAAAUAUAACAACCUAGUUCCUAUACCAAAAGCUCCAAGGUAGUCGAGAAGGAUUUAUAAACCGUCUCAGUUGAAUGGUUUGAACUUUAUGACUAUGUCAUAGAGUUGCACCUCUUAAUUCGAAAGAAAUAAGAAUGAAAAUCCUUAUGACUACAUUGAGUGUAUAUAUGAUAUAUACUCAAGGAAAUGGUAAAGUACCAUUUGACCCGAAAUAAUGAAACCUUAAAUAGCUAAUUGGUAGCUUAAGGUGACUACAAUCAAAGAGAAUGGUUGACUUUGAAGAAACCAUCUUUGAGAUAGUCUUGGUUUCAAUUAAUUCGAAGAUUGCUAGCUACAACUAAAUGGUGAUUCAAUGUUUGGACAUAAUAUGGGUUUUCGAAACCAUUAUUAAGAUAGUCUUGAUAAUAUAUGUCUAAAAACUAUGAAUCACAAGACAUGUAAGUUGUAGAGAUCCAUCCAUCAUGGAAUCUUAGCAAGCUAGUGGGAGUUAUGAGCAUCUUAUGAGAAAAGGAUCAAAUCGUUUGAUUUCUCAUAAAGAUGUAAAUGAAUCUUUUGUUUACUAGGUUUACAAAAGAUUAGUGGGAGUUAAUCAUGUUCCUAAAAUUUAAAUAUAUAUAUUUGAUAUAUUAAUUUUGGAAAUGAAAAGAAUACUUCUUCGUAAAAGUUAUGACUUUAAAUAUUCUAUAACGAUAGAAUGUAUGCAGGAGGUAAUCAUGUUCCUAAAAUUUAAAAUAUAUAUGAUAUAUUAAUUUUGGAAAUGAAAAGAAAGCUUCUUCGUUAAAGUUAUGACUUUAAACAUUCUAUAAAGAUAGAAUGUAUAUGGGAGACAUUGUCUAUAUACAUGGGAUGGAAAUCUAUAAUGAUAGAUUUUAGGAUAUAAUUGGAUUAUAUCAAUUCCUAAUAAUAGACAAAAGAUGAUAGGAAGUUUCUCAUAUGAUGAUGAACUUCAAUCAAAUGGACAACUCUAGUGAGACUAAGGAAGUUGCUCUUCUCAAAGGAGAACGUACCUCUUUGACUCCCAAAGAAAUAAUGCGUAAAUAGAAUCCUUUAUGCAUACGCAUAAAGGUGAUUUAUGUAUUUCAUAUUGUAUGAAAAACAUUGAUAUGAGUUGUACCUAGAACGGUACAAGACGAUAUCAGUGCAAGCCCAGGAUCAGAACCAUGGCAACUGUCAAGUGAGUCCUUAAGUAUUUAAGAAAUACUAAAGGAUAGAUUCCUCAAAGAAUGAGGAAGAAUUAGAGUAACGUAAUGGAAGCGUAAAUGUAUUAGAUUAUGAAUCUAAUCCAUCAUUGGAUGUUUCUUCAUUAUGAAUGAAGAGAUAAACAGAAUAUCUCUUUAUUAUGACUAAAGAGAUAUUUGGAUGGAAACAUUAAAGUAAUGACUUUAGUGUGUUCCAUUAUGAAUGCAAAAAUAUAUUGCCAUAUAGAAGUUUACAACAAUGUUGUUUGGAUGGGAAAGUUCAUUUAUGAACUCUCUAUUCGGUUCCAACCAGAAAGUGUAUCUAGUGUACUGACACUAUGACACUAAUGGGGCGAUAGCUCAAGCCAGGGAAUCAAGGUCUCAUCAAGGUCCGAACUCAAUAUGAGAGACUGAACCACAUGAUUGAGAAUCAUGUAUAAUGGUGACGUCGUUAUUCUCAAGGUUGCUUCUAUGGAUAACAUAUAGAUAUCCAUUGUCUAGGCCUACUAUUCAGCCAUUUAUGAAAUGACUACAGAAGAGGUAUCAUCACUGAUGACCAAGCUGAUUGGCUCUAGUGCAAGUGGGAGAUUGUUGGAAAUGUGCCCUAAAACCAAUCAUAUGAUGAUACUUUACGGACAUUUCACAUGUUAAACUAAUCUAGUUUAAUAUAAAGGGCAAAGAUUAUUGUUUGAGCCGUCUCAUAUAAAUGUUAUAUGCUUAAACGAUAAAGUCCAAGGAAUAUGUGAUUGGGAGAAUGCGAUCUAAAGAAGUUAGAUUCAUGAGACCAUUCUUUCGUAGACACAUCCUAAACGUUCCUGAUCAUAGGAUUGCCAAUUGGGCAUUGACAGUCCGUUAAGAUCAGUACGUGCUGUGUCUUCUCUCAGGGAGAGUGACUAGUCUCGAGUCAUUGGUGUGUGUGACAUCAAGACAAGUACGUAGGUGCUCAAUAGAGAAUGAGUUCACUGAACACGAUCAACGAAGAGUUCUCAUAUUCAUGUCACAUGAGAACUCAUGGUUGGGAUAAUGCAAAGUAGUCCUUUGACCUGAGGCAUCACAGUUGUCUUGUGGUUAAGUCCUUGAUCUUUGAUUAUGUCAAAGUCACCCCCAUCGGGGUGUCCACGGCAUCGUUGGGGUUAAGCCACUUAGUCAUGGAGGCAAGUGAAUGCGCAACAAGGGAUCUCUAACCUUCAAACCGUUUGAGGGAGAAUACUCUAUGAUAUGAUUAAGAAUCUCUGGCCAGAGUAUGAAUGAGAUUUAGGAAAGUCGUUCCAAAUCACAUUCAAGGUAAUCAUAUAAGCACACGAAUCACAUUGGAUAGUAGACAUGAAUAAAUAAACUAUCAAACCAAACAAUGUGGUCAAGAGUAUUGUAUUAGAGAGAAAGACCGUAUUGCAUUUGUAAUCCUAAACUGAAUAGGUUCUCCACCUCUUCUGAUUAGCUUGGGUAACCAUGAUAUGCUGCUAGGUGUCACUCAUGGUUUGUGGAAGCCCUAAACGUGUGUAAUCACUAAAGGGAGAAUUGAAAGUAAGUUUCAAUUCACAAUCGAUUGUGAAAUGGUUUUUAAUCGCCCACUGCCUCGCUAAAAGGAACCUAAUGGAUCGCACACCGUGUAAGGUGGAGAUUGAAGAAACAAUGGAGAUGAGUAAGAAUGAUUAAAUGGUUUAAUUAUUUAUUUAUGGCAAGGAUUAAUUAAUAUGUUAAUUAAUCAAACGAAUAAGUUCGUUAAAGACCUCGGGAUAGUUUUGGACCUUAAGGCCCAAUGGGCUUCGAACGUCAAGCCCAUUGACUUAAGUUGUAUGACAACUUAAUUCACUAAGACCCAAAAGCCCAAACUACACCCUAAGGCCGGCCAUAUUGUUAAGGGUAGUGAACUUGGACUUAUUUACAAGUUUGCCACUCAAAUGAAUAAAGGUAUAAAUAUGACUUUAUAGCCAAAAUUCAUUAAGGGUUUGUUUUGGAGAAAAUUGGAGAGAACAUGUCUCUCCAUUUCUCUCUAAAGAGGUCGGCCCCUUGGAGGGUGCAUCUAGCAAUCCCACUACUCUAAGGUCACUCAUUUCUUCUCCAAUCUCUCCUUGGUGAAGAGACUUAGAGGUUCUCAAUUUUGGGAACUUGGAGAAACCUUUUCAUCCAUCCAAAUCCAUAGAUUUUAGAUGCAAGGAAUGAAGGCCCUCUCUUUGGGUGAUUAGCCUUUGCUUAUGCAAAGAGGAAUCUACAAAGGUAUAAAUCUCAACUCACUUUGUUUUGAGUUGAUUAAUGGUUCACCAAUCUACUAGGCUUUGAAUUUCAUGGUUAAUGUUUUGUUUUUGAAUGCAUGAAAGCAUGAUUCCGCCUUUUAAUUGUUAAAUGCAUGCUAUAGAUGUUAUUCAAAUGAACAUGUUUUCACAAAAUCAUCCUUCAUAUUCCACCUUCAGUGGAACUGCUUUUACAAAUAUGGGCUGAAGUCUUCUUCUCACCGCUUGCUUACCUCUAAAUUUGUAGGCGGCCGAGGCUCUUUGUAAGUGUUUUACAGUUAUUUUUUGUGUGAUUAUGCAUGCCUCCUUUGUUAACAUAAACAUAUUUCCAGAAACAUGCAAUAUGAACCACAGUACUUCAAACACAAAUCCAUGUUCAUAAUCCUUUAAACACCUAAAGAAAACCUUACCUGCAGUUGAAUUUGAAGAAUGUCCGAUUUCUACAGCAAAGUAGAAGUGCACCUUCUCCUCUCUUCAGUAAUCAGUUUGCUCUUAACUAGUAAUAGGUCAAAAUUCAAAGAAUAGAGCACGUACAAACUGUGAGAGCAGAUGCCACUUUAUAUACAACAUAAUCCUAGCCAAGUCUUUAGAAUCCAUAUAGACAAUCAAUUCAUUACACAUAGUGUUUCAGCAUAACAUAGGUUACAAAUCCAUUCCUAAUAAGACUUCCUAUCUAAUCUUGAAUCAAAUAACUUAAUCCACAUAUUCAUACUCAUGCUCAUAUUCUAACAUCCUUUGAUUGAUAGCGCUUAGUUUAGAUUUUAUGCAUUUUGCUUCCAAUUCAGCAUCACCUUACGAAUGUGAAAUUUAGUUACUUGGUUAUAUGGUGCUUACUAACUGUACUUAUGUUUGCAAUAGACAUGAAUUUUUGAAUUGCUUCUUGCACUUUAAAAAAUGAACCACUUUUGCCAAGAACUGAAUAGAAGGGCUUCCUCUGUUGCAUUGGAAACGUACGGUGGGCACAAACUUCCGUGUAGGAUGGAAUUGACGAAAAUCUACACUGUUGAGGUAAGAAAAUGACAUAAAUUAAAGUGCCCUUGUUUUUCCUUGGUGUAUCGGUCCGCGAAAUUUUCAAAUGACAUAAAUCAUAAAUUUUGUUUUUCCUUCAUUUCAACUAGUUCUGCACCCUGUGCAAUUAAACUACCAAAUCUUUAUAUAUAAAGCCAGCAGCCCUAAUUUGGGGUCACGGAUUCACCAAAAAAUAUUUGGAUCCCAAAACAAAAAAGUUGAAACGUAGUCCAAAAUAAAGCAUCAAAUAAUAUAAAAGUAUUUUCGUCAUACAAACAGUGUUUUUUAGUUUUUUUUGUACAAUAUUUUUUUAUUUUAUAAUUAGUACCUCACAAUGGGCUAGCAAUAAUGUGAUUCAAUCAAUUGUUCAUUAAAUAUUAUUUUCUCUAUUUUUAAACACGUUCAAAACAUCUUAAUUGGAGUGUAGUGUCGGUUAUAAAAAGGUCUUUCGCACGUGCAUAAUAAUGUGAUCAAUUAGUUGUCAAUUUUUUUUUUGAACAAAUGAUAUUAUCUACACUAUGGGGGAGGGAGGUGGGCUUAGCCUCAUAAUGAGUUAACAAUAAUGUGAUUCAAUCAGUUGUUUAUUAAAUAUUAUUUUCUCUACUUUUAAACACGUUCAAAAUAUCUUAAGUGGUGCAUAGUGCUGGUUAUAAAAAAUGUCUUUCACACUCACAUAAUAAUGUGAUUCAAUUAGUUGUCAAAUGAUUUUUUUUUUUAACAAACGAUAUUAUCUACACUAAGGAAGAGGGGAGUGGGCUUAGCCUCACAAUGGGCUAGCAAUAAUGUGAUUCAAUCAAUUGUUUAUUAAAUAUUAUUUUCUCUGUUUUUAAUGUAAAUUGUGAUGACCCUUCCUGAAUUAUUAUAUAUUUUUCUCCCCGAGUGUGUAAAGUGAUGGUAAUGCCCCCGUGGUUUAGUGAUGUGGAUGUACAUAUGUAGUUUAAAAUUAUUAUUUCUACCGUCGUAGUUAAAUUGUACUCGACGCCAUGAGUGUGUUGAUGUGACCUAGGCCGAAUCAGAUUCGUAACGAAGAAGUUACGAACAAACGAGUGUGUAAAUAGGCAAAAAUAUAUUUUAUGGGUUGGCUAUACCUUACCCACCAAUCACCUUAGUUCCUGAUUUCUUUGGCCCAAUUAAAUUAAAAAUCUCUCACCUUUUUCCUUUUGCCCAAUCACGCACGCACACACCCUUACUCUCUCUCUUCUCUCGGACCUUCUUCUUCUUUCUUCUCCUUCUGUACACCUGAGCCACCCUUACCUCACAAUCAUCAUCAAAAAUCACGGAUCGAACUAGAAAUCACUACCAUCGCACUCACCUCGACCCCACGAACUCAUUGGUACCCUUAGGUCGAGGAAUAGACAUCGGGAAUUCGAGAACUCGCGAGCUCCGACGAGGUGUAUUUUUCUACGUUGUGAUCGUGGUCUUUUCCUAAGGUUUAAACGCUCGAGGUGGGUCCUAAUCAAAUUUAUAGGGACCCUAGAUUAGUUUUGGAGCAGUUGGAAUGUUGGAAUAGACGAGAACACAGAGUUGCAGGUUGGCCGGUUGUUCCAAGCCUUAUUCCGACCACUUUCUGUCAGUUUUAGAACCUCAAAUAAGUGAGAUUGUGUUCUUCUAGUUUAGAGCUUCAAAUCCAUAUAAAAUUCGUGGAAUUUGGUUGAAAAAUGAUGAAGAUAUUAAAGUUUUAAGAUUUUCCAGAAACCGGCGACACAGACGGUAGCUGGCGGCGGAUUCUGGCGAAGCCACCAGAGAAGGAGGAGAAUAUUCUGUCAACUUUGAUGGAAUAUACUAAUGGCGUUAGGUAACUCGGUUAGUUUUUAAACAAAAUAUUCUACUAUUUAACGGAAUAUUCCCUAACGGCGUUAGGGACUCCGUCAGCGUGCCAGGCACGUGCUUGCGUGUGGCCGGCACGUGAGACGUCAGGAAAUUAAUCUAAAAAUAUCAGAGUGUUCGUGUUGUUGAGUAUGUCACGUUGGUAUAUUCAAACAACCCAUUUGAGCAACAUAUGAGAAGUUAUUCCUAGAGUUUGUGUAUGUGCUUUAGAAUUAAUGUAAAAUUAGUUAUUUCGCAUAUAGGUGAGACAUACCCGAAGGACGAGCGUGGUCAGGUGAGACUUGGGGGCUACGAUCCUGCUACUUACUAGUGAGUGAGCUUUUGUUUUCUAUAUAUGUGUAUAUAUGCUUAUGAUUCCCAUAAACUAUUUUAAAUGAAUGUAAGUUUUAAAUGUCAUGUCAUGUGUGCAUUAUGUGUUAGUAUUACAUUAGUAUAGCUACGCAUAGUAUUGGAUGAGACUACAGAGGCUUAGGUAAGCUUUAGGUGAGUACAUCAUCAUGGUAUUGGUUGCGUUGUGUGUGGUUAUAUGUUGAUGCAUGAUAGGGAUUUUACUACACACGUAAACGGGCUAAAAACUCCUAUAAUACUUGGAGGAAUGACAAGGUUAUUGUAGUAUAAACGGAUCUCGCAAGGUCAUUCUCCACAGGGAUUAUUAAAUAAUUCGAAACAAACCAAAUUCCAAUUAAUUAUUGUAAACUAGAAAUUGAGAUGAUUGAUUUUAUAACCUACUUAAAUUAAAAACGAAUUUAAUUAAUAAAAGUAAACUAAUAUGCAAUAUUAAAGAUGAAAGAAAAGGAACCAGUUUUGGAGAAAUCAAAUUAAGAAAGCACUAGGGUUCCACCAUCACCUAGCAAUCCCAUGAACUUUUACCAAUUACUUAUGAUCUACACAUGCCACUUUGAAGGUUAAAUUUUCCUAAUUCAUAUUCUACUUGGAACCUCCAACAUAGAACGUAUAUUAAACAUGCAACCCGUCCGGACGUUCGGAUCAAAUCUGAACAUGAAAGACUCAUUAUGCUUUAUGAAAACCCUUUGAAAAACCAUGCAAUUCUUAAGACGUGGUGUUCAUCUUAAGUGAAAUUACAAUUAUUAAUCACAAGAAGCCAGCGUCAAUUUCAGGGAACCUUCUGACCAAAAUUACAUCAAAUUACUUUUCUAAAGAUCCUAAUGGUGAUCAGGCAUUAAGACAAUUAGAUAGUUUUAAUCUCGGUAAUUAAUAAUUCAAAGUAUGCAUGCAAUCAAUCAUAAACAAUUAAAUAAAAAUCACAUAUUCAUGCUAAGGCUCACGGCUUCGCCCUAGCAAAAGGAAUUAGUUAUUCAUAUUCAUAAUUAAAAUCAUAGAAAAUAUUAUUAAGAAAAUGAUUGAAAGCACCUUCAAGUAGAAAAUCUCCAAGAAUCCUAGCAAUUCUUUCUGUCGCCAAAGUUUCAUAAAAGAAAGCGUAGAAAAAAAACUAAGAACGGCAAAGCAAUAUAUUUGCUAAGCCAUCCACAAACCCUAAAACAUAGGUCUCUUAUUCCAAUUAGGAAACUAAGAAAAAUAAUAAUAUAUAUUAGAAAAUAAAACCCUAAUUAAACUAGGAGAAUCUCCCAAGCACUUGUCCAGCCAUGUUUUAGCCUCAGAUGUCCUCCAAAUCUGACCCAAGAUUGUUUUAAAGAUUAGGACGUUCCUAACACAUCUCCAGAAGGCCACAAAACCAUCCGAGGUUAUCUUGGGCUCCAAAAACGCAAUUUAAGCCCACAAACGUCAUUUUUCAACACCGCACAUCGCUCCUAUAUUUUUAUUGCCAGAAAAUAACUGCUUGGUGGAAAAAUCCCAAAUUUUGAUACGAUCAAGCUAAGUGACUCACAAACGUCCCCCAACUAGAAUUACUUCAAAAUUCGUCCAUUUGGUCCUGUUUUACUCCAGAGGAAGUCGACAGUCCUAUAUUGAAAAUACAAUUCAAAGUAUCAAAAUUCUUCCAAAAUAUUUAAUAAAAUAUACUAAGAAUAGGGUAAAAUAUAUAAUAUAAAAUCUACUCAUCAAUGCAUUUUGAGCUCAUUAUCCUGCACCCUGAUGUUAGUGCUCCCGCCCGUGGUUAGGGCACAAUCUUUCACGUGAUGUUCACCUCCUGAACCGCACGCACACCUUGGAUCCAAGUUUGGUGCACAGCCUUAUUGUACAGACCACAAUAAGUGGUACCGACUCGUAGGUGACCCGUGAUUAUUCGCACAGCCUUCACGUGAUCGUAGCACUUAAGCUUACUUAUCUACACCCAGCCUUGUCGUACAGACCACAAUAGGUGGUUCCGACUCGUGUGCAGGCAUUCUUGAUGAGUUAUAGAUUCAGCCGUACAGGUCACAUUAGGUGGCUCCGGCUGUCAUACUAUUUUACAUUGAUUCGUAUCACUUGGCUUACACAUUUUAUGGUUGAACAUCUUGACAUGGCAUACCUCUGUUUUCACUGCUUUUAAGCAUUAGCUUUAUGUACCUACUUGUGAUUAUUUUUUGGGAAAUUAUACGGGUUUUACAAUAAGGGGUUAGUAUGUUCAUAAAGACAACUGUGUUUUCAAAAGCUUUGUUUUUGCCCACUCACGUCUUCUGUUUUGCGCCCCGCCAGGUUCUAGAUAGCUGGUCAUCCUUGGUGGCUCACGAGGACUUUCACAGUGGUUUUGACAUCUCUAUAAAUAAGUAGGGAUCUUUUCACUGUUGUAUAAUUAGUACUUAGUUGGCUCGACUGCACUUACCUAUGCUCUGAUAUUUGUAUAACUUGCUUGGUUACCUUCACUCACUUAUAUUAUCUUAGUUUAGAUAAGUUUGGUUUUAAGUUUUUAUUUAUUCACAUUUCUUUUAUUAUCAGUUCUGUUGCGCAUUUUGGCUACGUCAGCUUCACAUGACGGCUAACACGUCUCGACUUCGGUCGGGGUGUGUCAUAAAUUCAAUAGAAUGUAGAUGGAAUUUAAAAGACCGAUUUAUUAUGUGGAUUCAGCUACUUUGAUUGGUUUAUGAGGGGUUUCUUCUAGCAUGGUCUAAUAUGAUUCAUUUAGUCCAAAUAUUUGACUUUCUUUUUGUCAUAAAAAAAGAUAUUGAAGCAAUUUAUGCAUAUAAAUAUAUAAAUGUGUAAGUUGUGCGUAGCACGCUAUAAUUCAAAAAAUAUUUUUUGCAUUGAUGUAAGCACGUGCAUGAAGGCUAGUCAAGAAGAAUAUGUGCCUUUGUUUGCUUCACUUCAACCAGUCUUGCAUAGAUACCAAAAUCCAAAGGUACCAAGGUCAAACUCUUGGGAAAAAAAUUGUGCAAAAGCCAGUGUUUUCUCUAUUUCAAACACGCUCCUCUAGUCCAUAGUACCCAUCCAUAGCCCCCUUCCCAUAGCCUCUAACCCAGCCACACAACCCACCAUCUAAUCUCAAGCACAGAUAACCCAAACCAUCACACAAUUGAUAAAUUCAUUCUCAGAGUGGAGUGUAUUGCAGUUCGUUUCUUCUUUUUUUGUAGUUCUUCUUUUUGUUUUAGGUAAAGUUUUAUCUGAACUUUUGGGUCGCUGGAAGAGACAGUCCCUCUCAAUUGAAAUUGUAAAAUGAGAACUCCUUUUGCGGAAUUUGAACUGGAAAAUUAGAGCCCCAAUUUCCCUGAGUUUUUUCAUUCGUCAAUUGUUGAUUUAUGGGCGUCAAGUUGACAAACGCAAAAAAAAUUGAACUCCCAUCCCUCAAAUCCCGACUUGUAGCUAAUUUCCGACUUAUUUUUCCACAUCCAAACACACUGUUAGGGAAUUUAUUGUUUCUUCUUAUUCGCCAAAGGGGCAAAGUAGACAUAAAAAUAAGAAAUAAAAUAUUUAAACCAAAGUUAAAUGUCACAACCUUAUUCAACAAGGAAUGACUUCUUAUUCGCUAAGCAAUAUCCUUAUGUGUAUAUAAACAACUGACUUGAGUCCUUUUGGUUUUAAAUUCGAACUAAAACUGUCAUGUAUCUGUUCCUACCGAGUUCUUCAGUUUGGUUGCAUUUGACAUCUCUCAUGUUCUUCUGUUUGUGUAGGUGAAAAGGGUAGGCCAAGCUUGUAGCUAGCUCCCAUCCUAUUUAUACAGAGAAAGUAUAUAAGCAGACAACACAACCGUGCUUCUAAGAGCAUCUCCAAUCUGCCAAAUGGGAUUGUAAAGCAACGUUUACAUUUCCCGCAACCCGUCCGGACGUUCGGAUCAAAUCUGAACAUGAAAGACUCAUUAUGCUUUAUGAAAACCCUUUGAAAAACCAUGCAAUCCUUAAGACGUGAUGUUCAUCUUAAGUGAAAUUACAAUUAUUAAUCACAAGAAACCAGCGUCAAUUUCAGGGAACCUUCCGAUCAAAAUUGCAUCAAAUUACUUUUCUAAAGAUCCUAAUGGUAAUCAGGCAUUAAGACUUAGAUAGUUUUAAUCUCGGUAAUUAAUAAUUCAAAUUAUGCAUGCAAUCAAUCAUAAGCAAUUAAAUGAAAAUCACAUAUUCAUGCUAAGGCUCAUGGCUUCGCCCUAGCAAAAGGAAUUAGUUACGCAUAUUCAUAAUUAAAAUCAUAGAAAAUAUUAUUAAGAAAAGGAUUGAAAACACCUUCAAGUAGAAAAUCUCCAAGAAUCCUAGCAAUUUUUUCUGUCUCCGAAGUUGCAUAAAAGAAAGCGUAGAAAAAAAACUAAGAACGGCAAAGCAAUAUAUUUGCUAAGCCAUCCACAAACCCUAAAACAUAGGUCUCUUAUUCCAAUUAGGAAACUAAGAAAAAUAAUAAUAUAUAUUAGAAAAUAAAACCCUAAUUAAACUAGAAGAAUCUGCCAAGCACUUGUCCAGCCAUGUUUUAGCCUCAGAUCUCCUCCAAAUCCGACCCAAGAUUGUUUUAAAGAUUAGAACGUUCCUAACACAUCUCUAGAAGGCCACAAAACCAUUCGAUGUCAUCUUGGGCUCCAAAAACGCAAUUUAAGCCCAAAAAUGUCAUUUUCCAACACCGCGCAUCGCUCCUUUAUUUUAUUGCCAGAAAAUAACCGCUUGGUGGAAAAAUCCCAAAUUUUGAUACGAUCAAGCUAAGUGACUCACAAACAUCCCCUAACUAGAAUUACUUCAAAAUUCGUCCAUUUGGUCUUGUUUUGCUCCAAAGGAAGUCAACAGUCCUAUAUUGAAAAUACAAUUCAAAGUAUCAAAAUUCUUCAAAAAUAUUUACCAAAAUAUACUAAGAAUAGGGUAAAAUAUAUAAUAUAAAAUCUACUCAUCAAUGCAUUUUGAGCUCAUUAUCCUGCACCCUGAUGUUAGUACUCCCGCCCAUGGUUAGGGCACAAUCUUUCACGUGAUGUUCACCUCCUGAACUGCAUGCUCACCUUGGAUCCAAGUUUGGUGCACAACCUUAUUGUACAGACCACAAUAGGUGGUACCGACUCGUAAGUGACCCGCGAUUAUUCGCACAGCCUUCACGUGAUCGUAGCACUUAAGAGUAGUUAUUUACACCCAGCCUUGUUGUACAGACCACAAUAGGUGGUUCCGACUCGUGUGCAGGCAUUCUUGAUGAGUUAUAGAUUCAGCCGUACAGGUCACAUUAGGUGACUCCGGCUGUCAUACUAUUUUACAUUGAUUCGUAUCACUUGGCUUACACAUUUUAUGGUUGAACAUCUUGACAUGGCAUACCUCUGUUUUCACUGCUUCUAAGCAUUAUCUUUAUGUACCUACGUGUGAUUAUUUUUUGGGAAAUUAUACGGGUUUUACAAUGAGGGGUUAGUAUGUUCAUAAAGACAACUGUGUUUUCAAAAGCUUUGUUUUUGCCCACUCACGUCUUCUGUUUUGCGCCCCGCCAGGUUCUAGAUAGCUGGUCAUCCUUGGUGGCUCACGAGGACUUUCACGGUGGUUCUGACAUCUCUAUAAAUAAGUAGGGAUCUUUUCACUGUUGUAUAAUUAGUACUUAGUUGGCUCGACUGCACUUACCUAUGCUCUGAUAUUUGUAUAACUUGCUUGGUUACCUUCACUCACUUAUAUUAUCUUAGUUUACAUAAGAUUGGUUUUAAGUUUUUAUUUAUUCAUAUUUCUUUUAUUAUCAGUUCUAUUGCGCAUUUUGGCUACGUCAGCCUCACAUGACGGCCAACACGUCUCGACUUCGGUCGGGGUGUGUCAUAAAUUCAAUAGAAUGUAGAUGGAAAUUAAAAGACAGAUUUUAUUAUGUGGAUUCAGCUGCUUUGAUUGGUUUAUGAAGGGUUUCUUCUAGCAUGGUCUAAUAUGAUUCAUUUAGUCCAAAUAUUUGACUUUCUUUUUGUCAUAAAAAAAGAUAUUGAAGCAAUUUAUGCAUAUAAAUAUAUAAAUGUGUAAGUUGUGCGUAGCACGCUAUAAUUCAAAAAAUAUUUUUUGCAAUGAUGUAAGCGCGUGCAUGAAGGCUAGUCAAGAAGAACAUGUGCCUUUGUUUGCUUCACUUCAACUAGUCCUGCAUAGAUACCAAAAUCCAAAGGUACCAAGGUCAAACUCUUGGGGAAAAAAUUGUGCAAAAGCCAGUGUUUUCUCUAUUUCAAACACGCUCCUCUAGUCCAUACUACCCAUCCAUAGCCCCCUCCCCAUAGUCUCUAACCCAGCCACACAACCCACCAUCUAAUCUCAAGCACAGAUAACCCAAACCAUCACACAAUUGAUUCAUUCAUUUUCAGAGUGGAGUGUAUUGCAGUUCGUUUCUUCUUUUUUUGUAGUUCUUCUUUUUGUUUUAGGUAAAGUUUUGUCUGAACUUUUGGGUCGCUGGAAGAGAUACUUUCCCUCUCAAUUGAAAUUGUAAAAUGAGAACUCCUUUUGCGGAAUUUGAACUCGAAAAUUAGAGCCCCAAUUUCCCUGAGUUUUUUCAUUCGUCAAUUGUUGAUUUAUGGGCGUCAAGUUGACAAACGCAAAAAAAAUUGAACUCCCAUCCCUCAAAUCCCGACUUGUAGCUAAUUUCCGACUUAUUUUUCCACAUCCAAACACACUGUUAGGGAAUUUAUUGUUUCUUCUUAUUCGCCAAAGGGGCAAAGUAGACAUAAAAAUAAGAAAUAAAAUAUUUAAACCAAAGUUAAAUGUCACAACCUUAUUCAACAAGGAAUGACUUCUUAUUCGCCAAGCAAUAUCCUUAUGUGUAUAUAAACAACUGACUUGAGUCCUUUUGGUUGAAAUUCGAACUAAAACUGUCAUGUAUCUGUCCCUACCGAGUUCUUCAGUUUGGUUGCAUUUGACAUCUCUCAUGUUCUUCUGUUUGUGUAGGUGAAAAGGGUAGGCCAAGCUUGUAGCUAGCUCCCAUCCUAUUUAUACAGAGAAAGUAUAUAAGCAGACAACACAACCGUGCUUCUAAGAGCAUCUCCAAUCUGCCAAAUGGGAUUGUAAAGCAACGUUUACAUUUCCCGCAGCCGGAAGUUGCUCCAGUCUCGGUGCUUUUGCUACUCACCGGAAAAUGCAGGUAAAGAUGCAUAAGGUGGGCUCCUCAAAGGAAAAAGAAGAGAAGGGUUCACGCGCAAAUAUGCCUAAUACUCGCCAAACAAGCGAUAGUUGGAGGCCUAUAUAUUUGGAAGGUCAAGAUUCAAGCAUACAUUAAUCCAAAGUUUGUAAAUAAUCGAAUAAAUACCAUUUGACAAAAAAAAAAAAAAAAAAAAAAAACAGACCCCUUCACAUAUAGGCAUAACAUUUGUUCAUCCAUCUACCAAAUUUUUUUUCCUUUUAAUUCUCACACAAAACACUUCCUCAUUCAAAUUUUUUCUAGGUUUUCUUCAACCUUCUUCCACAUCUCCUCAUUCAAAAAAAUUUGAUCGAAUUGUGCGGAAAAAGUGAUGUUAACAAAAAACUAAAUAAAUAGUAAAAAAGUUAAGAUAAAAAAAAUCUACCCCGGGGUGGUGGCGGCGGUGGGGUUGAGGCAGUGCCGGCUUUUUCACCGGGGGCGAUGGUGGUUAGGUUGAGUGACUUGGUUCUAUUAAAAAUCAAAGGACUUUAGUUGCAUUAGCCUGAGGGAGGCUGGUUCAAACAUGAAACAGCUUAUUUGACAUACGUAAAAUCUUCACAGAUCCAUCUUAAAAAGAACAGUCAAAUAUAUAUCAGUUUUCGGUGAUGAAUUUUUAUUAGUUACAUGAGUUAAUCACGACUUCAUCAAAUGUGAAUCCAAGAUUAUUAUUGCUGACCAAUAUGUGAACUCGUUGAAGGCUCAUCAAUUUUCACCGCCUCUGCAUUGCCAUGCAAACCUUUACCAACCCUCUCGUUCUUCCUUAUUAUUUCGUCGAUAUGAACAUCGUCGUCAAUUGUCAACACCACAGCUUUCGACCCAUGCAGACCUUCUACGAUGUCUUCCUUCACCUUCCGAUGUUCGUUGACGUUAACGAUUUCGGUUUCCCAUUGGACACCUGAACUCUUUGCUUUUCCAUGCAAACCCUCGUGACUAAUUGUCUCAUUCUUCCUUAUCUCCUCGUCGAUAUGGACAUCAUCCUCAACUGACAACACCACGGCUUGGGGUCCCUUGGGACCUUCGACAAUGGCUUCCUUGAUCUUCCGGUGUUUGUCGAUGUGAAUGAAGUCGGUUUCUUGGAUUGUCUUUUUCUUUCUCCUCUUGAUGCAACAGAGUAGGGCAACUGCAAGGAAUCCAAGGAAGAAAACGGAACCUAAUGAUAUGAACACAAUGACUAUGACGGUGGGAUGAUUGUCCGGGGUUGGUGAUGGUGGCAAUUGCGGUGGCGGAGGGCGUACGUGAGGUGGGGGCGGUGGCCUAAAUGGCUGAUGUGGAGGUGGUGGUAUUAUAAAUGGCUUAUGUGGUGGUGAUGGGGUUGAGGGGCUUGGAGGCUUUGCCCCCGGGGGUGGUGGUGGUGGGAUUGAUGGACGUGGUGGCUUUGCUGACGGAGUUGGCGGUGGGGUUGAUUGACUUGGUGGUUUUUCUGAUGGAGGUGGUGGUGGGGUUGAGUGACUUGGAGGCUUUGCUGACGGAGGUGGUGGUGGGAUUGAUGGACGUGGCGGCCUUGCUGACGGAGUUAGUGGUGGGGUCGAUUGACCUGGUGGUUUUGCUGAUGGAGGUGGUGGGGUUGAGUGACUUGGAGGCUUUGCCCCCGGGGACGGAGGUGGUGGAGGGAAAAAUGGGAAGUAGUAGCUAUUUGGAUUGGCCAUCUUAUUUGUAAAAUAAAGUCUGUAACGUGGUAGAUGAGAAUUGAAUUGUUGUGGAGAAAGUGGUGGACUUGAAAAGCCUAUUUGUAGCAAAGAGUUUAUACUAAAUUAAAAGUAAGAGUUCAUUUUUUAAUGUUCGUGACUUAACUCUCAUUCUAAGAUUCGGAGCUGGAAAAGGUUUGUUUGCAUUCCAAAACACUUCUCAAAGUUUUCUUGUUUCUCUUAUAUUGCAAUUCCUCCACCAAGGUGAUAUAGUUUUUUAGUUUGCUGAGUGUGUGUGUAUAUAUACACAAGCCCUUUAUCCAAAUGGAUUUCCAUUCUUGGGUAAAAAUGAGACUAGUUGUAGGACCUACUCUACAUCGAUUUUCAAUGAUUUGAACCGUUUAUCUUGCAAGUCUCGAUUCAUAAAUCAUCCUUGCAGAAAUUCAAUUCAAUCACAAACCAUUUGCCUAUUUAAUUAUCACAAUAAAAUUUCGUUGUUUUUUGUAGAACAAAGUGUCAAUUUCUUUGUACUCUUAAUUAGACGCCUCAAAUAUUUCUGAUUUUGCUAAUAUUUUGUAAGGAUGAUCUAUGAGGUGCAACUUGAAAAAUACACGGUUUAGAUCGUUAAAGUUCAAUGUGGUGUGAACUCCACAACUAAUCCGCAUUUAAAAAUAAAUAAAUAGAGAUCGUUAAAGUUCGAUGUGAUUAACCUUAAUAUUUAUCAUUUUGUGUUUAUUUUUAUGAUCUCCAAUUGACAAAUUAAAAUUCAAACUCCCAGUACUAAAGUUUAGCACAAAAGAAAAUUGGGGUUUCGGAAAAUUGAAAAUUGAAAGUUUCAACAUUUCAAUCAAUAAUUCCACUCUUUGGUGAACAAAGAGACAUUUCACAAUAUGCAAUAUAUUAAACAAGAUCAAAUUACUAGUUGAUGCCAUCACACAAGUGAUACAAAGUAAUCACACAAAGCAACAAAAAAAAAAAAAGCGUUGGUUCAAUGGGGCAGCCCAGCUAUCCAUGAUGGAUCCGGAUGGCACCGACCCGUUAUCCUUCCACUGCCAAGAGCGGGAGGUAAUCGUUGCUCUGUGAAACCAGCCUUACGCGGUUCCAUCCGCUCUAGAAAUCGUGUAGCCUAGAGCCUUCGCUCAAGCCACACAACUCAACUCCUAGCUUGGAAUGGGCAGGCCGGAAUAGAGCCACUCCAGACCCGAACAGCCAACGCUGAACCAAUGUUCCAACACCUCAAUGCCCCCACUUGGGUUACAAGCUUGCGUUACCAAGCUCGACGAUUAUUCAUCCUUGUGCUGGUAUUAUGAAGAACAGUUUUGCACUUCACUUGCCCGAUGUGGGACUGUUUAACUAGCUUAAAUUUAUGUAUGUACUUUAGAAAAAUUUAAUUAUUAUUAUCAAAGAGAGGGAUGAUUCAAAACUAUUAUAAUAAUUUAAUCGAUGAAGAGUUUUGAAAUGUUAAAUAAGCAAUUGGAUCACCAUGUUUUUGAAAUGUUAGACAGAUUUCUAGCUGCUCGACAAAUACUUCUUUGGUCUUGAAUAUUUUGUUGUAGGCAAUGGAGCGACGGUACGCGUAUGACAGGAUAGGUGGCUUCCGAGGCCGAAUACAUUCAAAGUGUUAUCAGUGGCACCAGUUUCGCAGAAACAUAUGAGGGUGCAGGACCUACUUGAUCCGGUAAGCAAGUCUUUGAGCCUCGAAGUUUUAUCUGCGUUAUUUUUGGAGGAAGAGGUGAAUCUUAUACGCACUAUGCCUACUAGUAUUUGUAUGCCGGCGGAUUGUUUCAUGAGCGGGGAUUCAGAACAUUGAAAGUUCCAACAUUUCAAUCAAUAAUUCCACUCGUUGGUGAUCAAAUUACUGAUUACCUAACAAAUGAACAAAAAAAGCAUUGGUUCAAUUUAGGCAGCCCAGCUAUCCAUGAUGGAACUGGAUGGCACCGACCUGUUAUCCUUCCACUACUAAGAGCAGGAGGUUGUCACGGUUCCCUCUGCUCUAGAAAUUGUAUAGCCCAGAGCCUUUGCUCAGGCCACACAACUCAACUCCUAGCUUGGAAUAAAGCCACUCCAGACGCAAACAACUAACUCUGAACCAAUUUUCCAACACUUCAAUGCCACCACUUGGGUUACAAGCUUGCGUUACUAAUCACGGCGAUUAUUCAUCCUUCUGCUGGUAUUAUGAAGAGCAAUUUGUGCUUCACUUUGCCGAUGUGGGACUAUUUAACUAGCUUAAAUUUAUUUAUUUAUUAUAGAAAUUUUUAUUAUUUUUAAGAGGAGGGGUAGGGUUCAAAACUAUUAUAAUAAUUUGAGCGAAGGGAAGUUUCGAACCAAUGACGCAUAGGUAAAAAUCAAAUACCCUACCCACUAAGAUAUUCAACCACAUGCUACCACCUUCAAUUUAUGAGUAUGCAUCAAGGGUCUAAUUGUAAGCUCAACUUUUGGGCAUUAUGCAAGUUCAGAUAAGCAAUUGAAUCACCAUGUUCAAGCACACAGACAGAUUUCUAGCUGCUCCACAAGUACUUGUUGGCCUUCAAUAUUUUGUUUUUCAAGAUAAAAGAUGGGAAGUAAAGUUCACAAGGACAUGCAUUGACUUGAAUCAUGAUUGAAUGGACCUGGUAAUGCAUAUCUGUGUGUCUCAUUCGGGGGAGAGACUCUCGUGUAACCGGAGAGGCAAAUAUAUACUAGACAGUUGAUACACUAUUUGAACACAUAACGAUCAUUCAUUAGAUCGAGAAAGCCACUAAGACUGUAAUGGUUGCAAGAGAGAAUCUCUCCUCAUUUCGACAUCAAAUUAUAAUAAGAUUGAACUCGGACCACUACUCUGAUACGUCAUGUGGUAUACCAUCAUAAACAACAAAUUUUCGUUCCACUGCUCACUCUUUCAAUACAUAAAAAUUGAGGAGGCUUUGAUAACAUCAUAACAUUGAACUAUUUCCAGUACAUACUUAUGGGAAGUAUUUGGCCCUUCUUCAGAAGUAUAGAAGUGUGCAACAAUCAAAUAAAAUGUAUAAGUUGUGUUAAAAGAUGCAAGUGAUUAAGCAAGGCAUGCCCUCCUUGGAGCUGCCACGACUGCAAAUCCACCUCUGGCACAUCAACUAAAAAUUCAAUGAAAGAAGAAGCUCAUCUACCGUAAAACAUGUCAGACGCCUGGCAGACCAAUUUGUACACUUUCCUUCAUCAGUUCAUCCCCAAACUCGGAUUGAUUUUGGCCAAUUGUAGAUUUUGGCCAAUUGUAGAAACUUCUAUUUCGCUUUGGAAAAAUAUGCUUCCACAAAUGGACACUUGUUAUAACUUGUAACUACUAGCUAGACCUCGUGAACACAUAUUACAGCAACGCAGCUUCAUCUCAACUCCCCCAUUUAAUUUGGAUUGUGGUUCUUAAUCUUCACUAACUGACCGUGGGGAAACAAUACUACACAAAACGACAAACAAGAAUUUUGUGAGAGGCAAAGUUCAACUUACAGGCAGGAUGCCAGGAUCUCUCUCACUUUUUCGAUCUGAUGCUGAAGAGUGACACUAGGAGCUUGUUGAUGCAAGCAGCAAAAGAAGGAAGCAUAUUAGCGGCUCUACACUUCAUUUAAGGGAAACCUGAUUCCCGGGUAGCAGGUUCAAGAGAAUUUCAUUCCACAUAUCAGGUACGCCAGGUAAGCACCAAUGGCUACAAUCAGGGACUGAUGGAUUAUCGCUCCAGGUACCCACAUGCCCAUCACUACGGAAUGAUAACAUCGGUGUAACGUGUAGAAUUGUCACAGGAACCUUCAUUUUUUUCACAAUCUUUAUAAUGAUGUCUGAAAUUGUGCUUCGGUCCUUUCCCCAUGAGCUUGACCAAGGGUGUUUAGUCACUUUGCACGAAUUAUGGUUUCGGCCACUGGUACAUAUACAGAAUCACCAGCAGUCAAUUAUAUCAGCUUAUUUGCAUCUCAACUCAGGAGCAAAAUGAAUAAUUAAAUAUGUACCAGAAUUUAAAAGAUUUAGCUUCUACAAAGAAGAAAAUAGGACAACUUUAUAUAUUGCUUCAGAUCAGCCAAUCGAACCGGCAUUUCCAUGAAUAACCAUUAACUAAAGCAUUUAGAGGCCAAUAAAGACUUGAAAUUCCUUGCUACCCAAACACAUUAAAUCAAACUAAAAGUAGGAAAAAAAUCAAAAAUACAAGCAACCUUUUUAUUUCUGUAAAUAGUUUGUUAAGUUCCAAAUUCCAUGAAGAUUUUUAGCAAAAAAUGUCCAUUAAAUUACAACUACUUGGGACUAGCAUGGAUGUAUCAUGGCACAUUAUUUUCACCAGACGUAAAUAGCAAAGCAACAUGGGGAAUUAUAGAAUGCUUUAAUAAUAUAGUAUCGAUACAUGGAACAAAACAAGAUACUCCCUAUCUUUAAAGGGAAGCCAGAAGAAUAAAAUAAUUUUUUUCAUGAAACACAAGUAGGAGAUGCUAACUAAUAGCCAAAUGUAUCGCCAACAAGAAUAGAUUUGGUAGAGCUAGAUGCAAUCAAACCCCAACAGCCUUAGACACUAAAAUCAUUGGCAGCAAGUAUCAUAACAAAUAAAAUAAAUAACGCACCUCCAAUGCGAUGACUCAAAAGUCCUGAAGAAUACACUUGUCCUAUUUGUGUUGACCAUGGUCUCAACCCAAGAUGACCAGGUGUUUAAAGCUAUCCUGAACCCCGUGGUGAUUGGCAUUCCAAGCUUCAGAGAUUUACCUACUUGAAAAUAGCAGCCCCUGUACAAAAAAUGUUAAACUCGCUUUUUUUUUUUUUUUUUUUUUUUGAGAAAGCAUGGAAAGCUGAUUAAGAAGUCGAUUGUAUGUUGAGCAAGCAUAAUCAUUCAACAGGUGCAUACAUCAAGACAAGAUAUACUGGUUGACAAGGAAGGAAAACAGAACACUACUAUCUUACAUCAGAAUGCCCAACAUGCAAUCACAUCCACUUCCACAAACAAUCAUAAUCACGUGAAAAAGCAAAGUGGAGUGAGAGAAAGAGGGAUCCAUCUGCAUAACUCUACUACAGGCUGCACAAUGUUUUGGGAAUUGUAUCCUUAAUUCUUUUUGGGGUCUGAAAUGUAUACUGAAGCAGCAGUAUUUUGGUGAUAGUAACUGGUAAGUACUCUACCUAAGAAGUUGAUCAAGCAAAUUGGACCUGAAGUCGAAUGUUAACAUAACCGUCAUUUAUCCUUUGUACCCAUCAUUUAUGAUCUAACAUGUAUUUUUUAUUACAAUUCCAUACCCCUUUCCCCAGCUGGUGAAAAAAUUUUAAGCUAAAACAUAAGCAUAAAUAUCUACAAAUUAUACAAUAAUCAUGGCUUCCAUGGAGUUUGUAUCAGCAAACUUCAACCAAGACCUUGGCCACGCCCAUACUAGGGAUCUUCUACCUCUCUAGUAAAUUAGGCUUCUGAAGGGGCACUAACAUGCAUGGGGCAUUUAAACCAUUCUAUAAAUAAUAAGUAGCAUGCAUGCCAUAAAGAUGAAUACAUUCUAAUCCACUGCUUGCAUUAGUCAACAUUUAUACGAUCAAGCAUGGAGUAUGAAUGCACAAUGACAAGCUGUUAAUGGUGAAGACUCUGGAACUGAAUGUUGGAGGGGGCGUGGAUUGAAGAUAAAUGUAAAGUAAUUGAAUGGAGGGGAAAAGACAGACAAAUGCAUCCGGUAAAUAGAGAAUCAUGAAGCAAGUUUUUAAAUGUUUUUGACGUCAGAAAGCAUUCUACAACAAUAACUGAAAUUAGACAACGCUCAGAGAUUAAGAUAACUCACAUGUCAAAAAGUUUACUUGGUGUCCACCAGUGACCUGAAUUGAAAAUCAAAAUAUCAGAAUCGAUCCAUUCUUGGCUAAUGUCAUCCAACUUGUCAACUCUGAGAGUUGAUUUAACCCUCUUUGGUGAUCGGAUUGGAACUGAAGCAGGCUGUACUAGGAAAACUGACCGAUAGAAAUCAAUUCUGAGGUCAAAUGAACUAAAGUGUACCGAUAAGAAUCUAAUCUGCUUAGUGAUUUUUUUCCCAUUCACUUCAUAAACACUCUUCUUAUCCUCCACCCCUGUCAUGAGUAAACAUAUCAAAGACUCCCACUGUGUUCUACUCAACGAAUCGCCAACAAAAACAAUCCUCUUUCCACGAAGUUUUUCAAGAACCGCACGCACAUCAAACCUAGGAAUAUCACAAUUCUUUGGCUUCCACCUCCACUUGGCAUAACCCCCGUCUUUCCGCCCAUUAGCAAAGCAAUUAAAUCCAAUUUCUGUAAAUGGGCAUUCUGAGGCAUUGUACAAAGGGUAACUUUCAUCUUGAAUCCACCUUCCUUCGAAAACAUCACAUUUAUCAGUUGCACUACUACUGGAAUUCGAAACCGGGUAACUAUUAACCACUGGGGGAACACUGGGAAACAAAUACAAAAAGGCACAAGACAUUGCAACAACAAAGAACACCAAUGAGCCAAUUGCAACUAAUCCAUUGUAAGUUUGAAAAACCAAGAUUUUACAAUGACCCUUCAUCAUCUCAUUACCGAAAUUCAAAACCCUUUUGUAGAAAGGCCUGAAUUGAACAAACCAAUCCCAAUUAACAUUCCUCACCAGCUUCAUCAUUUGGUAAAAGAACCCAGAUGAAAAAGUUCCCCAAUUGCAAUCAUAUAAUAUGCUACAGCAAACCAGAAGAAAAUCCAAUUAUGAAAUUAAAAAUCCCUCAACAAAGUAUGAAACUUGAGCCAAGAAUUAGCAAAAUUUGGGCUCUUGGAGAAGACCCAUCAAGCAAAUGAGCAAAGUAAACAGCAAUCUUACAGAUUCACCAACUGGGGUCUUGCAGAAAAGCACUUUCUGGUGGUGGGGUUGGCAGCUUCUGUUAGAAGCAGCUAUGAAGAGAAGUUGGUUGGUGGAGUGGAGGAAAAUGGGAUACUAAGUCAGAAGGUGAAGGAUGAUGACAUUUUUGGUUAGCUUAGAACCUGGUCCUUCUGGGUGACUACAAUACAAAGACCUCUCAACUGAAAUGUGGGGACUGGGAUUUGCAAAGUGACUCUUGUCGGUGGGUUUUUAAGCAAAGACCAAGGACAACUCUCGUUGGGCUUCAACGCGUAGAAUAACUCUAUUGCUUGGAAUUGGAUGGAGACAAGUUCAACUCGGAACAAAGGGUGGGUUGGUUGUUGCUUCUUCAUCCCCAGCUGUUCUUUUGGACUGUAGUUGACUGAUAGAUUGUCUUUUUAUUUUUUUUUUAUGUAGUAAAUUAUGUAAUCGUUUAUUUGUCUUAAUGAUUCAUUAAAUUUUACGUUUUUUAUCAAACUCAAACGUAUAAUGCACAUAUAUUCGCAGUUUUCACGUUUAACAAGUAGAAGAAUGCAAAAAUACAACAUCAUUUACUGCCAAGUUCGUAUAUUUCUUAAAACAAAGUAAUGGGAAUUGCUCUUAAAUUGUCUAAUCUUUUUGUACAGAUAGAUAACACGGUUUCUUUGUUGAAUGAAUUUCAUCGUAUGCAAGUCUAUCAAAAAGUGAUGUAAUGUUUUGUCAUCGUAUGCAAGUCACGGUUAUCUAUCUCUUUUAGGACCGAAGAGGCUAUGAAAAAAUAUAUAUUAAAAUAAUUUUUUUUUAAAAGGUCUUAAAUAAAUUCUUACCAUUAGUUUGUCUUUUAUUAUUUAGCCAAUAAUAUAUUUACACAAAAACAUGGGAAAUUUGGUCUAAAUCACACAAUGAGUCUCAAUCAAUAAUAAUAAAUUACUAGAUUCGAACAUAAUACUUUUUACUUUUGAGUCCAAAAGUAUGCCACUAAAUUUUUGUUACCAUUAGAUUGUUGUACAUAAUAGUUUCAAAUUUGCAAUCAUAAUAUAUUUCAUUUUCGUGAAUUUGUUGAAAAAUUGGUCAUCUGGGAUGUUGUCACUCCCCAUCACCACCAGAUUCCAGACGUGGACAGAAGAAGGAACCUUUUGGUAUACAACCUAUUAUUGUUGUCAAACCCGUUUUUGUUGCUUCGAAAAGGAAAAGGAAAAGCAAAAGCAAAAGAAUAGGAAAAGGAAAAAGAAUGAGGCAAAAACUAAUUCUGUCUUUCAUUUUCUAGGACAAGGAGAAGGAAGCAGAAGCACACAAAAAAGAACAACUACAAUGCAACGGCUUCAAGUGAAAUAACCAAGGAGGAACCAAAGUUAAAUUAUGAGAAAAACAAAAAGGAGGAUUGUGGAGUCAAAAAUAAUCACAAGGCGACAAGUGGAUUUUUUGACAGAAAAUGACAAAAAUACCUUUGCGGUACAACGGGAUUCCUACGCGCGAGCAGCGGGCAACCCUUCUUCAACCAAGUCAAAAGUGUCCAAAAUAGGUAACAAUUUAAAGCAUAUUUCAUCAAAUCCUUUCUAUAAGGUAAUUCUCAAAACCUAAUUUAUUCCAUAUAUUUUCUAUUUCAUUAUUUAGCUAACCAAUUAGCUAAAUAAUAUAUUCCUUUCAUAUUUCCUAAAAUCUUCCUUUAAAAACAUAAUAAUUGACUAAUUAAAGGAUUAAUUGUCUAAUCAAUCCCCUAAUUGUCAAUUAAAUCACCCAUUCAACCCCAAAAACAAGUCAAAGGCCGGCCAUCCCCAUUCCAAAAUGAGUCCACCAUACUUUCUACCCUUUUUUUUUUUUUUUUUUAUCAUUUCUCCCUUUUAAUUGCACUAAUUAGCUAGCCAAUUAAUUUCAUAACCACCAAAAUUGACACAUCCCGAUCGAGGUCAAGGCAUGCUAGCCGUCACGUGAGAGCGGCGUAGCCAUGUGCACAAUGCGAAAGCGAUAAAGAUAGCAAAUAUAUGAAUAAUUAAAAACCACAUUUAUAGAGUGCACUACUAACAACAAGUGAUAGGAGUUAGUUACAACUGUAAACUCUCCUAAUCAGAGCAUAAUAAGUCUAGGUGCAGGCCAGUAGGACAAGUACUAGUUACACAGUACCAGGAAUGUCCUACUAUACUAUAGAAUAGUCAGAACAGCCGAUGUCCUCGAGCCACCAACAGCAAGCUUUCUUAAAACCUGGAGGGGCGCAAAACAGAAAACGUGAGUGGGCAAAAACAAAUGUUUUACAAAAUCAUUUCAUAUAUCAACAUAACUAACCUCUCGCUGUAAAACAUGUAUAAUUUUUCCCAGAAUCAAGAUAUAAGCAUAUACAUAUAUAUAUAUAUAUAUGUAUAUAUGUAUAUAUAUAUAUGUAUAUAUAUAUAUAUCUGAAAUCAUAUCAAUUCAGUUCAUGCUUCACAUAAUCAUAUUCAUAAGUAUAUAUGUCAUGCCAAGAUAUAAUAGAGUAAACAAUUCAAGUAAGAAUAAUUUCAUAGAAAUGUGAUAUGUUAGCCGGAACUUUUGUGGUAGUAUAUAUUGCUGAAUUCAUAGCUCAAACUCAAUAUAGCUGGAGUCACUACUAUGACCUAUACAGCAAUAUAUUGCACAUAAGUCGGAACCACUAAAAAGGGUCUGUACGACAAGAUUGGGUGAAAUAAUUAUGCUCAAUUCUAUUCUCUCAUAAUAGUCGGACGAUAAAUCGUUAGUCACCUACGAGUUGGAACCAUAAUAAGGUCUGUACAACAAGACUGUGCACUUAAGUUGGAUCCAAUAUGAGCAUAUAGUGCGGGAAGUGACGUAAAUAAAUAGGCUUGUACUUCAUAUCUCUGGCUAAUUCACAAUCACCCUAGGUGCAGCUUUAUAAGCUCAACAUUACUUAAUCACAUAUCACAUCAUCGAUGAUUCACACAACCAAACAUAACUUACCUGAACUCACAUGUGCCUUCACAGCACCACAUUUAUAUAUAUAUGCAACCAUGCAAUGCAUAUUCAAAAUAUAGAAGCAUUUGGCAUAUUAUUUCAAAGCAUACUUUCCUAAAAAUGCAUUUCUGGGAAAUAUAUCAAGUAUAUAAACAUAUAAUGAAAACAAAAGCCCACUUAUUGGUAUGUCGAAGGCUCGUAGCCCCCGAGUCGCCCGUGGAUACGCUCUUCCUCUGGAUAAGUCUCACCUAUAUGCGAAUUAACUAUAAAAACGUUAUUUUAAAGCACAUAAGCAAAACUAGCUAAUAAUUUCUCAUACAUUGCUCAAUUUUGGUAUUUAAAUAUACCAAUGUGACCUACACAACCUCACGAACAUCGUGAUAUUUUUAGAUAAAUUUUUAGGUGGCUCACGCGCCCCCACGAGCCGGGGAGGGCACGGCCUCACGUGCCCAACACGCGCAUCAUCUUCAACCUCCAGACGUCGGAAUUGUGUCACCAGUGCCGAAUUAUGGGCAAACCUGCAACUACCUUUUUCUCACUCGUUUUUACACCAUUUUUCACGCAAUUUAUACCAAAAUGAAGCUCUUAGCUUGUAGAACAUGAUCAUACUAAUUUAAAGCUCUAAAAGUCAUGGGAUCUCACUGGAGAAUUCCAAGAAAAUCGGCCAAACUUCGUCCACACGAUCCCGACGUCCAAAACCUUCAAACGAAGCACUCCGAGCUUCCUUGGGACCUCACUAAGCUCACUAUGAGCUUGGAUUAUCCUAAAGCAUAACCAUUUAAAAGUUCGUGAAUAGUGCUCAACUCGGAGCUUGAAUUUUCAACGUGAUAUCGAACGAGUUCUUACCUAAAACGGGUACAUUUGAACUCGUAUGGUCCUCACGAACACAAUGGUACUAAUUUUGGCCACGAUCCGUGAAGUUUCAAGGGUCUUGGGUGCUUGUCCGUACCAUUUUGAAAGAGAGAGAGAGUGAAAUCGAGAAAGAGAGAGAAGAGAGAGCACAGGAAAGUGAGAGAGAGACAGGAUGUGUGGUCCAGAUUUUUGGGUAACAAUCAAAACAACCCAUUUUCCUUACUUCCAAUUAGGUCCAAAAUAAUAGGAACUUAACACAUUGGUCCUCAACCACACAUAGUCCCACAAUGCCACAAACGCUCAAGGGCAUUUUAGUCUUUUCACAUCAACGAUAACAAAAUAAUGUACAUUUCCAGGACGGGUUGUGACAAAAACAUUCCCUUUAUAUUUAAUUAGCCAAUUAAUCAUAAUAAAUUGGCUAAUUAAACCAAAAUUAAACCCAAAAACCUUACCUCAUGGUCGGCCACUCCUUCUCCAAAGAGGCUGGCCUAUCCCUAUAAAUAGGCUCCCAUUUUCACCAAAAGAUGAUUCCAACACACUUGCAAAAUUCUCAAUACUUUCUAAACACGUUUCUCUCUAAAUUCUAAAUUUGGCAUCAGAGGUUUUUCGGCCAAAGCCCCCCUCAUUCAUCGUGGGCGCAUAAGGCUCUUGGCCUUGACCCUAAGUUGUUAAUUGUUUUGUAGGUGCAACUUUGUCCAAGAUCAAUGAGGAAGAAAUUUGCAUCAACAAGGAUCUUUCUCUUCGAAGAGAGAGCUCUUCUCUCUGAAGUGAAAGUCAUUCUCACUAUUUUUGUGAGACUUUCAAAUCUAAGCAUUUACGGUAGCACCGGCCCUAGCUUCAGCUGGGGUCGGUUGCUGUGUCCUCUUUUCUCUUUUUUCCUUUUUUUCUCCUUGCAUCUACUGGUGGUUCUCCCAAUUUUUCAAUCGGGACUGUCCAAUUCCUCAACCCAUUCAAGUAUACCUCUUCCAGGCUUUUCCUUGCUUUGAUCUUUAGCCAUGUUUUCUAUUGAGUUCGUGUGUAGAGUUCCAGCGCUUUUACCGGCUCGGGUGUUUCCAACACCACCACGUUCUCCUUGUUGUCUGCCAUUUCCGGCAAUGUCGCUCAGGGAUUUCCCUGGUUGUUGGCUUCUCUCUCUUGGUUGCCAACUAUCUCUUGCUUAUGGUUGUGCACAAGUGAUGUCUGAGGAGGUGAUGAUCGGUGGUGGACGGAGAAUCGGAUAGCUGGAUGCUUCUCAGAACGGCGGUGGAGAAAGCAGUGGAUGCUUCUCAGAAUUUCUGUUGUUUUUGGGCUUUACUGUUGUUGAGCUCACUUUCUAUUAUUUCUUUAUUUUUAGGCCUUUUUUUGUUUGUUUAUAUGUGUAAGUUGGGUCUUUGUUUGUUUGUAAGUGUGUGUUUGGUGUUUUAAUAAAAUCUUUCCCUUGACCCAAAAAAAAAAAAAAAGGGUUAAAUUAUAAGUCCAAUUAAAAUUCACGGUGUGUUCAAGGAACAUGAUAAACUCACAAUUUAUAAUCCAAUCUUCUUUCUGUCUAUAUCUAGUUCGGAAAAAUGAAAACUCAAAAUUAAAAAACAACAUUUUUUUAAGCCAAAAUAGUACCUAAGAUUAGCAUAACUUCUCACUUUAGUCCUUGAAAUCAUUUUGGUCUUCUUUAAAGGCGAUUAUUCAAAUAAUGACUAAAAUAAUUUACAGUUGACAAAUUCGAAAACUACUUAUAUCAAUUUUAAAUUUCAGGAAUCAAAAAUAAAAAAUUAUUUCUUUUAGGAAUCAUUUUGGUUAAAAUACCGAAAAUGAAAGAGUCAUCCAACAAAUCCGAAGGACCUUCGUUCAUAAAUCAAUUUAUUUACAUGAGCGAAUGUAAAAAUAGAGGGAACUUGUCAGACUACCGUGCAACCAACCCAUACAGAGAAACUGGCUGAGAAUGAUCGUCUACCGCUGAUGGAAAUCACGCUCUGAUUGCACGGUCAUUAUUCAUCUACCGAGUUGGGAUUCCUGUCUCCUUAGAAAUCAAGGAUACAGAGGUACAAUUUUAUAGAACAGAUCCUGUUCAAGUAAGGUCGUGAACUACUAUCCUUUGUUCGGGUAUUUGACCAGCUAUACUAUUUUGGACACGGUCGAUGUGGGACUCAAGUGCGGUGUUCUGCUUAACAGCUAAAGAGCUCGCUUUCUCUUUUUUUUGUUCGAUUACUUUCUAAGCCUGAAACUGCCGUCUUUAUAUUUAAACAAUACAUAAAAGUUGUGUCAUUGUUUUGGGAGAUUUUUACAAGUUAAAACAUGAUUAAUUGUGUUGGUAGAUUGUAAUGUCAUUGUUUUGGGAGAUUUUUACAGGUUAAAACAUGAUUAAUUGUGUUGGUAGAUUGCUUGUACGUUUGUAUCAAGUUUCUCUGAAAACUGAGCUUUCUUGGUGGUCACUGAUGGGGUCUCAUGUGAUAAUUCUAAGAUUUAGCUAUGGAGAAAUGCAGAGAAAGAAUUCGAAGAGAGAGAGUAGUGAGAGAAACUGAAACUUUUUCAUAUAUUCACUAUUACAUCCUUUGCCUUUUUAUAAAUACAACCACACACAACUAACUUCUAGAUUCACCAAUACAAUAGAGACACAUGGCAGUGCCUAACAACUCUAUCAACUAACAAUACAUCAUGUAAUCUAACAUUCCCCCUCAAUCUUAUGCUAGGCAUUCCCAAGCAUAAGAUUGGAACAAUGAGAACUAAACAAUGGAAAACACAAACCCUCGGUAAAGAUAUCAGCAAACUGUUCUGAUGAUGCAACAAACUGCAACAAAAUUGUUCCUUGCUGAACCCUUUCACGCACAAAAUGGCAUUCUAUUUCGAUGUGUUUAGCUUUAGAAUGCAAAAUGGGAUUAGUUGCUAGAGCCAUGGUAGAUAUGUUGUCGCAAUGAAGCAAUGGUGUAACUGAAGAAGAAAGAGACAGAUCCUUAAGUAAUUGUUGAAGCCAUACCACUUCAGCAGUUGUAUUUGCCAUUGCUCUAUACUCGGCCUCAGUAGAAGAACGACUAACAGUAUGUUGUUUCUUCGAACUCCAAGAAAUAGGAUUAUGACCUAAAAACAUAAUGAAACCAGUUGUUGACCUUCUGUCAUUGGGAUCCCCAGCCCAAUCAGCAUCUGUGUAAGCUCUAAUAUCCAAAUUGCCAAGUUUAAAACACAAUCCAAGCUGCAUAGUCCCUUUAAGAUACCUCAAGAUGCGCUUGACCACAACAAAAUGACUUGCAAGUGGAGAAUGCAUGAAUUGACAAACUUGAUUAACCGAAUAGGCUAUAUCAGGUCUAGUAAAAGUCAAAUACUGGAAGGCACCAACUAUACUUCUGUAAAUACCUGGAUCAGGAAUUAGAGGGUUACCAUAAGUUAAGAGCUUUUGAUGAAGAUGACAAGGAGUUGUACAAGGCUUACUGUCUAGCAUAUUUGUCUUGUGCAGCAAGUCCUUGAUAUAUUUAGACUAAUGAAUAAGUAUUCCCUGAGAUUGAUACUCAAUUUGCAGACCAAGGAAAUAAUGUAGAAUUCCUAAAUCCUUCAAAUCAAACUCCCUAGUUAAUUGGUGUAUCAUAGAUUGAACAUAGGAAUCAUCAUCUCCACUGAGUAUAAUGUCAUCAACAUAUAGGAGCAACACAACAAUUGAAUGACCAUUAUUUUUUACAUAUAGAGCUGGAUCAACAUAAGAUGCUUUAAAACCCAAACUAAGAAGGAAUCUGGAAACCUUUCAUUCCAUGCUCGAGGAGCCUAUUUAAGGCCAUACAAAGACCUUUCAAGUUUGCACACAAACUUUGGACGAUCCUUGUCAAUAAACCCCUGUGGUUGAGACAUAUACACUUCUUCAUCUAGAAAUCCAUGCAGAAACGCAUUUUUGACAUCUAAUUGUUUAAGUUUCCACCCAUUUGUAGCUGUCAAUGGUAACAUCAAUCUGACUGUAGUAGGUUUAACUACAUGACUAAAGGUUUCAUAAUAAUCAAGGCCAGCUUCCUGAGAGAACCCCUUGGCCACUAAACGAGCCUUAUACCUUGCAACAGAACCAUCAUGAUGUCUUUUAACCUUAUAAAUCCACUUACAACCCACCAAGUUCUUAUGAGGUGGAAGUGGAACUAAGGUCCAUGUUUUCUAUUUAAGAAGAGCCUCCAUCUUCUCAUUCAUUGCACAUUUCCACUAAGAACACUUUGAAGCAGCAUUGAAAGACUGAAGUUCCCAAUCCA